rnacentral:lncRNA from 1 species
AUUUGGGUUUAGGAUAUAGGGUUUGGGUUUAGGGUUUACGGUUUGGAUUUAGGGUUUAGGAUUUAGGUUUGGGAUAUAGAGCUUGGGUUUAGGGUUUACGGUUUGGGUUUAGGGUUUAGGAUUUGAGUUUAGGGUUUAGAGUUUGAGUUUAGAAUUUAGGGUUUAGAUUUAAAGUUUAGGGUUUUGUGAGUAGCGUUAGCAUCAUUAAAAUUGGCGUUAUUAUUUUUUUUUUAAUUAUUUUAGAUUUUUUUAAAUAAAAUUAAUCUAUUUUAUUAUUAAUUUAGGUGACAUUUUGAUUGAUAACAAAAGAAGAAGUGAAUUUAAAGGUUUGUUCCUAUUUUAAUUAGGAUAAGAAUCAAAUGUUUAAAGGUUACGCAUGCACAUGCAAAAGAAAGAAGACAAAAUGUAUAACGUGUUUAAUGGUUCUGAUUUCACUUGUAAAAAAUUGUUUGGAUUCGAACACUGAUCUGUCUUUGCGUCAUCUUUCUUUAAAUCUUAAUCUUUGUAAGUGUAUUUUUUGUUAAAUCUAUCUUUAGAGCUUAAAAAAUCUUCAUCUUUGGGACGAAUCAUGUUCUGUUCAAGCACAAUCACAGUCCCAUAUUAAUGAAAUAACCACUCCCAUCCCACGUGGUAUCACGUUCAUUUCCACACCUCAUGUAUGUUAUGGACCAACUUUUUUAGUUGGGUAUCGCUGUCAAGCAAAAGAACAAAAACAUAUACGCCUAUAGCUGAGUACCCACACCUUGUAUUAGGACAAUACUUAUAUACAGUCGUUUUCAAGAUAUACAAAAUAAUCAUUCUAUUUUUACCAAAAAUGUAAAUAUUAUUUUAAAUGAAAUCUAUAAAAUCUGAUAAAAAUGUAAGAUUUCUAAGCUUGGUUACACUGCAAAAAGAAAAGAUAAACAACAUGAAAACAAAGACAACAUGUACACACAUUGUUUUAUAAGGACACAUUCUCUGCCUCCACCUGCUAUUGUACGGACAAAACAUUAAGAAAAGGAUAUAAAGUGCUUAAGAAACAGAGGUUAAAAGGGCUUGUAGUGUUCACACCUUGGAGGGAUUGUUCAUAUUAGAGAUUACUUAUAUACAGUCGUUUUCAAGAUAUACAAAAUAAUCAUUCUAUUUUUACCAAAAAUGUAAAUAUUAUUUUAAAUGAAAUCUAUAAAAUCUGAUAAAAAUGUAAGAUUUCUAAGCUUGGUUACACUGCAAAAAGAAAAGAUAAACAACAUGAAAACAAAGACAAUUGAUAUGUUAACUGUUAAACUUGAUAAUGCAAAUAAUUAGAAGUAACUAGGCAUGGGCGUUUUGGAUAUGCGUUCGGUUCGGAUCAGAUAUUUUAACUAUCUGGUAAUUUGGAUAUGAGGCUAGAUGAUCCAUAUAAGAACUAGCAAAUUUUCGAAUCUCAGUUCGAGUAGUUUCGGAUUUGGGUCGGUUCAGAUAAGAAAACUAAGAAUUGUCUAAUACCCAGUUUUUUUCUAGGUUCUUGUUUUGUUGCAGUUUCGGUUCGAUUAUUUUGGAUCUUUGAGAUAAUUCUGGUAAAUAUUGGGUAUUACGGAUAAAAUAUCGAGUAAUUAAGAUGAUUCAAAUAAAAAUUUCGAAUAAUUUGAUUAUUUUAGAUAUUUUGAAUAAAAAUAUUUGAAUACUUUUUGAUAAUUUCGUGUGAUUUAGAUAUUUUUGAUAAUUUGAUUUUUCAAAUAUUUUCGGAUACUUAUAAUAAUAGAUUUUUAAAUUACAUAUAUUUUGUUAUAUAUGUUAUAUUUUCGGUUCUUGUUUUGAUCAGUUUGGAUAUAGAAAUAUAGGAACUAUUCGGAUAUUUGAGGAUUUUGGUAUAGUUUUGGUUUUGAUUGUUUCGGUUGGGUUACGGUUCGGGUUUUUGGUUCUGGUGUUUUGCCCGAGCCUAGAAGUAACGACACAAUCUUAUAAAAAUAUCAUCUUAGACAAGUAUGACAUAGUACUGGUAAAGAUAUUAAGAGCUGAAUUAUAUAUCGACAUGCCGUAAAAGCAUCAUUAUCCAGGGUUUCGUAGGACGAGAUUUUUAGGAGAUCAUAAGAAACUGUUUCUUAACUUUUAACUAAAAAAUUAAGAAAUUGUUUCUUAAGGUAGUACUUUAAGAAACAGUUAAGAAACAAUUUCUUAACUUUUUAGUUAAAAAAUUAAAAAACAGUUUCUUAUAUUCUUCUAAGAACCCCACCCUAAGAAACCUUAUAUAAUGAUGGUCUAAGACACACAAGCUCGGUAUAUGAUGCAUUAGGAAAGUGGAGCCUACUGCCUACGUUGCUUUCUUCAUCCUAUUCGUUUUGUAAACUCUUAGACCAUGAUUAACCCAUGAUUCUUAGAGUAGGGUUCUUAGCGGAAGUUAAGAAACUUUUUCUUAACUUUUAACUAAAAAAACUAAGUCGACAAAUAUAGACAAGCAGUUGAGAGACUUGCGGCCUACUGUAAUGGAGAAAGAUACACUAUCUUUUGAUUGCGACUCUUAACCAAAGUCCGCGACAUUACUCUUCCUCUAUAUCUUGUCUACACAUGCGUGAAGCGAUUUUUUCCCUCGUGUUUAUCGAGUAAGGAUUUAGAUGAUGGAUGGAUCAAAAAGUAAACUAUUACGUUGCUUUUUUUGAUCAUUUUUUUUUUGGGGAUCAAAUAGGUCUUGCUUUUUGAAUACUUUUUUUUCUUUAAUAAGCAACGUAUUGUAGCCCACGUACAAUCCAUAGAAGCAGACCUAAGACUCUAAAGGGCAAAGACAGUUUAAUUUUGAAGACCAAAGGAGAAGACUCUGAGUCACCUAGAACUAGAAGGUUCAAAACCUUAACACCCUACAAGAUUCAAAACACUUGCAGGGUUCAAAACCGUAAGGGCAAAGAGUGUUUAAGUUCCGAUACGAUAAGAGCACCUCCAACAAUGAAUUUUAAAGAGGUUCUAAAAUGAGUUUUUAGAAAAAGAGAAGAGAAAAAGUAGAGAGGAGUUUUAAUGUUUAGACUUUAGAACUACAUUAAAACUUGAUAUGACACUUGUAAACAAUAUAUUAGUUGAUUUUUGUUUUACAAUUAACUUUUAAUUAAUUAACUUUUAAUUAUCUAAUUACAAUUUAUUAAAAUAUUAAAAUAUUUUUUGUUUAAGAAACUCUUUGGAAUUUUUUAUUGCUGGAGGUGCUCUAAGACCUUGUUCAUGUAUCUAUAGUCAACUUAGUUAAACAGAUAAAUUAAAUAUUUAUAUCUGAAUAUUAACAAAAUGCAUAAUAUUAUAGGUAUAUAGGCUUUUUUUUUUAUAGGCAUAUAGAAUAGGCUUCACUUCAUCUUUACACAAAACAUAUAACCGAAUCCUAGGCUAAUAAUCCCUUAAGAUGUGCUACUUGUUGUAGUAACAGAAGACGCCUCCUCAGGCUGAGCCUCACUAGCCAUGGUUUCCGGCAGUGAGGUUUCUUGCUGAACCACCGGUGGAGCUUCCGUGAGGGAAGGGGCAGAAGCUUGAACAGUUUCUGUAGGUUUGAACUUGUUGAUGUAGUAGCUAAGAGACGGUCCACUGUAAUCCACUGCUUUUGGUCGAGCAGGGGCGUCUUUUCCGACUUGGAGGAGUAUAGAGGAAGCGGAAGCGAGUGCGAUGAGUGCAAGACCUCCUACGAUUGCUGCCGUGUUCUCAGCCCCAUCGGACGAAGAUCCUGCAGUGCCUGAGCUUAUGGCGCUCUCUGCUACAUACACUGCAGGCUGCGAAAAAGUAACAUGAAAAGCAAGAAACUAGUUAAAAAAAAAAACUAGUUAAAGAUAAUAAAAACGUUGCUCAAAAAAAAAAAGAUAAUAAAAACUAGUUAAAAAUAAUAAAAACUAGUUAAAGAUAAUCUCCUCUACUACAGUCCAUGAGUCUAAUGCCUAUCAAAAAGAUUGAAGCUUUCUCUCCAAAUCUUUUUCUCUGUUUUGAUCCUUUCUUAGACAUACUAAAACUGACUCAAGGAAAAUAUUAAAACUGACUCAAGGAAAAUAUUAAAAAAAAAAACUAAAAAAAGGAUGGUAUGAGAGGAUAGUAGAAAACCUCAAUAGAGUAAACAUUAGUCUGACCAGCAGUAUCUUUCUCAACAUAGCCAGUCCAACCACGCUUCCUUGGUGGAAACGUUCCCACCACUUUGGUCUUUUCUCCAGCUAACCAUUCCAUACUCACUGUCCCAACCUGUGUGUUUCAGCCAUCAAACAAUAUCAUUUUUUUUCAAAUUUUUAAGAUGUUCAUAGUUUGUAAUCACUUCAAUACAAAUUCUAAGUGUUAAGUGUUUUACUAAAAGUGACCAAUUUUUUAUGAAAUCUUAAUACUAAAACAUCAAAAGAAUGUGAACUUAUCCAUAAUCAUGGAGAUUUUGAAGUUCACUCAUACAUACUCUGUCACAAAAAACAGAGCUGCACUACUUUGCCAGCAACCUCUGAAAAAUGAUUAUGAUUGUGUGAGUACCUCUUUGUCGGGAGCACAUUCCUCGGCAUUACAAUCAGGAUCAUUGGAAGAAGCUCUAACGACGGAGACGCAAAGUUUCCUUCCGCAGGACUUGGCGCUGAGGAAUCUGCCAAGAGGCUUGGGAGAUGGUAAAACGCAGCCGUUUAGGGAUAGCAAGACAUUGGAAGUGCAAGACAUGGUUAGAUCAGAUACGAGGAGAUUCUGCUGGGGUUUGGUUUAUCUCUCCGAGAGAUGUGAGGAGGACAAGACUGAAGAGACGAUCAUGUGUCUUGUCUUUGUGUUGGUGGGCUUUUCAAUCAGUCUACUAUAAGUGUCCACACCAAAAACUAGGCCCAACAACAGCCCAUGUUCAAUAUGGCUAUAUUGAUAUGUGACUUUAAUCCGGUAAAACCAAAACGAACCGAAAUAGAGAAAGUGUUUUAGAUUUGAUAAUAAUAAAUAUACCGAAUGAAUGUAAUUUAAAAAAAACCGCGAUAUAUGAAUAUGGUUUAGUAUAUAACCGAAUAACCCGAAAACUGACAGUAUAUAAACCGAACCAAAGUAGAUUUAGUUUUUAAUAUGGCAGCUAUUUUUUGUAAACCGAAAUCCGGAUUGAACAUCCUAAAUGUGAAACAUAGUUUAUGAAAUAAAACACUGUAAAAGCUUUUAUAUACUUCACCAAGAUUAUCUUAAUCACACCACAUUCAUAACAUCCUCCCAUUGUAAUCAACCAAAACCUCAAUAAAACUCACAAACACUGCUCACAUGAAACAAAACAAAUCGUUAAAGAGCUCCUAGUUUGUUACAACAAUCAACUAUCUAUACAAACGGAUGCAUGCAAAUAAAACCAUUAGCCAUGCAACACCAGCUCAUCCUCCUCCUUCUCCCCUUGCCAAACCCAAACAAUAUCCGCCAGAGCAGGCCUAAGAUCCUCCUCCACCAGCUUCUGAUACUCCACAGUAUCCCCACUACAUUUCUUUACUUCAACCAAGUGAAACGUCUCCGCCACUUGAAAUAUCUCCGCAUCAAUCAACAAACUCCCUUUCCUUCCCUCCUUCCCUCCUUCAAGUUUAAACAGCCCCGCCUCUUGCUUCCUUAUCUUCAUCUUCAUCCCCUUAGCCACCUCCUCCAGCUUAGAAAUAAUCUCCGAAGCAGGCUUUCUAGACGUGAACUUAGACUCUUGCUUCUUGUGCACGUCUCCGAAUAGUCCUCCUAGGUCAAACCCUGAUGACAAUGAUAUAAUAUCAAAAGCGUUUAAGCUUGUUAGGUUGGGAGGAGGAGGAGGCUCAUGGCUUUCACUUUGACCUGAACCACCAGCCUCCAUGGGAUUAACCUCUCUAACUUGUUGCUUCUUGUGCUUUAAACCUUUCCUGAACCAAGAACUCUCCUUGAUUCUUGACAUGGUGAUCCUCGUCUCAUGGUUAGGAUCCAGCAUCUUACACAACAGCCUCUUAGCUUCAACGGGAAACCCUCUAGGGCACUUAAACUGUCCUUUACCAAUCUUCACGUACAUAUCCAUCAGAUUAGAGUCGUAAAAAGGGAGAUAACCAGCCAAAAGAACAAACAAGACAACCCCACAAGCCCAAACAUCAGCUUUAGCACCAUCAUACGCCUCACGGUUAACAAUCUCAGGACAAACAUAAGCACAUGUACCACACGCCGUGCGAAGCAAGCCAUCUUCCCCUUUAGACUCAGCAAGCGCGCUUAAACCAAAGUCAGAAACCUUGAGGUUAUCGUCCUCGUCAAGCAAGAGAUUCUCCGGCUUAAUGUCGCGGUGGUACACUCCCCGGCUAUGACAAAAGUCAACCGCGUUGACGAGCUGGUGAAAGUACUUCCAAGCGACUUUCUCGCUAACUUUCCCCUUUGUGAUCUUGUCGAAAAGCUCCCCGCCUUUGCAGUACUCUAGGAUGAGGUAGAUCUUUGUUUUUGUCGCCAUGACUUCGAGUAGUUCGACGAUGUUUGGGUGUUUGGCGAGGCUCAUCACGGAGAUCUCUCUCUUGAUCUGCUCGCUGUGUCCAGGUUUCUUGAUUUUUUCCUUGUCUAUCAUCUUGAUAGCUACGCUCUCGUUGGUGUGGAUGCUUCUUCCGUAAUAUACCUUGGCAAAGUGACCUUGACCUAGUAAUCUUCCAACGUCGUAUUUAUCGGUUAAUAUACUCGGUUUGUUCUCCAUCCUAAUCGACAAAAAAUUCAAGAGUUAACAAGAAAGUGAGAAGCAAAACACAGAGAAUCUUGUUCUUACCUCUUAUGAUAUGAUAAAGAUGAGACUUAUCUUUCAAGAAAACAAAAGAAGACGUGGGGAUCUCUGCUUUUGACCUCUGGUUAUCUCUGUCUUGGUUAGUUUAUAAUUGUGUUUUCGUGUUUCCUACGUGAGAAGGGAAACAUUCAAGUUCAAAAAAAAGAAUGUAUACAUAUUCUCCUGUGGACUUGUCCACCUAAUAACGCAUAUGUUUUUUUUUUUUCGGAAGACAAAGUCUAAGUUUUGUUCAACUCGUAAGAAAGAAGCGCACAUGAGAAAAGAGUAAACGUUACAUUGUUUUAUAUGGACUUGUGUUAUACAUCAUCUGCCUUCUCCUGCUAUUGUACGGACAAAAUACUAGGAAAUGUAUAUAAAGUGCUCGAUAAAUACAAUUUAAAAGGGCUUGUAGUGUUCACGCCUUAGAGGGAUGUUGUUGAUGGUCGUGUUUCUUGUCUUGUUCAUGUUCUUGCUACAAUGGUUCACAAUGUUGUUCUUACUUCUUGUUCGUCUAAUAUUAUUGAUGGGUCUAGCUCACACCCAAAAACUAUUUCAAGAAUAGAUGAUUGCCCGUACACAUAUAUAUUGCCCAAGACCAUGUCACCACACAAUGUGUGACUUUAAUAGGCCCUUCGAGAUGUGGGUGGGUAAGGGUCCAAUGGAAACAGCCCAAACCCAAUAUCUCGGAAAUACCAAAGCAAUAUAGGCCAUUUUUUACACAUUACAUUAGAAUCAUGACGUUGAGAAGCAAAUUACCUCUAAUGAAGCCGAUUCAGUCAGUAAAGUAUUCAUCGUUUGGUCUGACUAGCGCAUCAGCUCUGCUUCUCUGUGUUGAUUUUUCAAAUCUUGACUUACUUUUUGGGCCGAAAAAGAGAUAAGAUCAGUCCCUUGGUUGGUUUUAGAUUUGUAAAUGGCCUUGUACUAGCUUAACAAGACCAAUAGUUUAUAUAAACGAACAUAUCUCGGGUUUAAGUUUUGAUUUUUUCCAAUAUAUAAUCGCAGAGGGGACGAGAACUGCUUCCACACAGAGGAAAAAGAAGAAGUCGUUUUCAGCACCGAAACAACUGCAAAAAUGGUUCGUCCAAACCUCUUGCUUUGCUCUUAGCUUGUGAUUAUCUGUAUCUCUUUUGCGUUCAGUGAUUGAUCAGCUCAGCUCUUCCUAGACAUGUACAUUCAAACUAUGAGCGUUUUCUCAUUGAUCCUAUGAUCAGUGACCAGUCUAUAAUGUUUUUGUAUUCUGUUUCUAUGGUUAGUUUAUGUUUUGAAUGUUUUUAUUUGUAAAAUUUGCAGGCAAGGGGAUUGAAGAAGCAUUUGAAGAGGCUCAAUACACGUUUUGAUAAACUUUUUGGUCCCUUCGUACGUUUUCUUUGUCUUAAAAACUUGUUCAUUUCUCUUGGUCUCUCUGUUCAUCUCUCUCUCUCUCUGACUCAUAAUCCUCAAAGAUUGUUCUUCUCUCCAAGUUCCUCACAAUCUUUUCUUGUUGAAAUCACAGGUUUUGCCAUCUCCAACGACAGGCACGGUUCCUUCAGAAUCUCUGAACAACGGUUUGCUCAUCGACCAGAAUGAAAUCAAACCUGAAGAUGCGAAGGAUGCAGCAUGAUGCUUACUUCACCGCCAAGCAACAGUUAUUCAAUUAACGGCUUUUUAGAAUUUCAUUUUCUUAGAUAAGUUAUAAUGCCUUUUUUAUUAAGUUUUUCUGUUUAGAAGGGUUAGGAGGUUUAUAACCGACCCUUAUAACAUUAUAGUUGUGUUUUUGAUAAUCAUUUUUUUGAAAGAUAUUAAUCAAGAAUUUUCUCUUAUAGCCUUGUAUUGAUUCGAUUUAAUUCAUAUGUCUCGAGAACUUUGUGUUGAUUUUGAUUCAAUACAUCAGCUCAAGAAGUAAGAGCGUGACUAAUGGGGGUUCUUAGGGUGAGUUCUUAGCGGAAUACAAGAAACCGUCUCUUAAAAGAUAUUUAAGAGCCGGUUCUUAGUUUUUUUAGUUAAAAGUUAAGAGACGGUUUCUUGUAUUCCGCUAAGAACUCCACCCUAAGAACCCCCAUUAAUCAUGCUCUAAGGUCUCUAGAGAUUUCGACAAAUCCGUAGAUUUGAGCUGAGUUGAAACAUUCAAGUUCAGAAAAAAACAUGUACAUAUAUUGUCCUGUGGACUCGUCCACCUAACGCACAUUGUUUUAUAAGGACUUGAGGACACAUUCUCUGCCUCCUCCUGCUAUUGUACGGACAAAACAUUAAGAAAAGGAUAUAAAGUGAGGGCUUGUAGUGUUCACACCUUGGAUGGAUUGUUCAUAUUGGUCAUGUUUCUUGUAUUCUUUCAUGUUCCUGCUACAAUGGUUCACAUUGUUGUUCUAGUUAUUGUACAUCCUGCAAAACCACGCUUUAGUUGCUCGUCCUACUAUCUUCAUAUACAUCUCCAUUACAUUAGAAUCAUGAAAUUGAGAAGCAAAGUCCCGAAUGAAGCGGAUUCGAUCGAUUAGUUUUAUCAAAUAAAUCUAUAAUUAUUUAAAUGAAUUAUUAUUUUAAAUAUUUAUUUCAUAGUAUUACUAAAAAUUAAAAUAUAUUGUAAAAUUUAGAAACCAAAAAACCAAAAAAAUGAUAAAUUAAUGGUUGGUUAACACUUUUGACGAUAUAAACAUGAUUUUGAGAGUUCAUGUAAUAUUUUUAAAUUUUAAUUUUACAAAGUUUUAUCUAAAAUAACGCUGUUUUGAUAAAUUAACGAAUUGCUGACACUUUUGAUGAUCAACGUAUAUAAACACAAUUUUAAAAAUUCAUAUAUUAUUUUCAAAUUUGGCUUAAUUCAGUGUGGAAUAUGCACUGUUAUAAAAUCCGAGAAGAAAAAAAUAUGACACGUAAGGUAUAUAUAGUAUUUUAAAAUUUUUAUUUAAUUUAGUAUAAAAUGUAGUACCUCAAUAUUCCGCGUAAAUUUCACAGGUCUUUUAGUAGUGCUCAGCUCUUCUUCUCGAGUUAAUUUAGUCUUGUUCUCUGGGCCGAAGAAGCGAAAUAAGAUCAGACCCUUGGUUAGUUUCAGAUUUGUUAAUGGGCCUGUAAUAAUUAAAUAAGCCCAAUAAUUAUAUGAGUGAACAAAUCUAGGGGUUACAUUUUCCUUUUGAUAUAUAAUCGCUGAGAGAGCCGGGAACUGCCGCCACUGAGAGGAAGAAGAAGUCGUCGUCGUCCGCUCCGAAACAACUGCGAACAUGGUUCGUCCAAAUCUAUUGCUUUUCUCUUAGCUUAUGUUUCUCUGUAUCUCUUGUGUAUUCAGUGAUUGCUCAGCUCUGCAUAGACAUGUACAUUCAAAGUAUGAGCGUUUUGUUAGUUUCCUAGGAUCAGUGGCCACUCUAGUUUACUCGUUAUCUAGCGAAUGUUAUGUUUUAGGACCGAACACUGACUGCAAUGUUCUAUUACCUUUGAAAAUUAAGCUUUUGAAGGAAUGUCCUUAUGACAAAACUCUAUCAAAUGUGAUAGUUUUGUAUUAAUUUAUUUGAUUGGUAAAAAAAAAAAAUUAUUUGAUUGGUUCCUUGACUUGUGUAUGCUUUGAAUAGUUGUAUUGUAAAUUUUGCAGGCAAGGGGAUUGAAGAAGCAUUUGAAGAGGCUCAAUGCUCCCAAGCAUUGGGAUCUUGACAAACUUGGUGGUGCCUUCGUACGUUUUCUUGUCUCAAAACUCGUGUUUCAAGACAGUUCAUUACACAUAUGUCUUAAAAUUGUUCGUGAUGAUGUUUCUUGCAGGCUCCCAAGCCCUCUUCUGGACCUCACAAGUCUAGAGAGUGCCUUCCUCUCGUCCUGAUCAUCAGGAACAAGUUGAAGUACGCUUUGACAUACCGUGAGGUCAUCUCCAUCCUUAUGCAAAGGCAUAUCCAAGUCGAUGGAAAAGUCAGGACUGACAAGACUUACCCUGCUGGCUUCAUGGGUACGCCUCUCUCUCUCUCUCUCUCUUCUGGUUUAUUACCACAUAUAUGAUGAUCACUGGCCUAAGCUGCAUUUUGAUAUGAAUAGAUGUUGUUUCCAUCCCCAAGACGAAUGAGAACUUCCGUCUUCUGUAUGACACCAAAGGACGUUUCCGUCUCCACUCCCUCAGAGAUGAGGAAGCAAAGGUAUUAUACUGCAUUGUCUUCUUUAAUCUUUUGCCUGUAUUUGAGUAGUAUUAAUUUUUUUUUUUAAAAAAGAAUGCAAAACUGUUGAAUUAUAUUAUAUAAAGAAUUUAAUUGAAAACUAUUAUUUAUAGAAUAAUAUUAAGUAUUAAGGCCACUUUUUAAAAUCUUGCCUUUAUCUGAGUAGUAUUUUUUUUAAUAAAAAAAAAUGCAAAACUGUUGAAUUAUAUUAUAUAAAGAAUUUAAUUGAAAACUAUUAUUUAUAGAAUAAUAUUAAGUAUUAAGGCCACUUUUUAAAAUCUUGCCUUUAUCUGAGUAGUAUUUUUUUUAAUAAAAAAAAAUGCAAAACUGUUGAAUUAUAUUAUAUAAAGAAUUUAAUUAAAAACUAUUAUUUAUAGAAUAAUAUUAAGUAUUAAGGCCACUUUUUUAAAUCUUGCCUUUAUCUGAGUAGUUUUUUUUUAAUAAAAAAAUGCAAAACUGUUGAAUUAUAUUAUAAAGAAUUUAAUUAAAAACUAUUAUUUAUAGAAUAAUAUUAAGUAUUAAUUUUAUUUAAAAAAAGAAUGCAAAACUAUUGAAUUAUAUUAUAUAAAGAAUUUAAUUAAAAACUAUUACUUAUAGAAUAAUAGUAAGUAUUAAGGCCACCUUUUAAAAUCUUGCCUAUAUGUGAGUAGUAUUUAUUUUAUUUAAAAAGAAGAAUGCAAAACUGUUGAAUUAUAUUAUAUAAAGAAUUUAAUUAAAAACUUGUAUUUAUAGAAUAAUAUUAAGUAUUAAAGCCACGAAUAAGCUUUUUGACCAAUAGCAACACAUAUUACAUUUUGACCUUGUUGAUUGAGAAUUAUGUUGAUUUGUUUCGUUGUGUAGUUCAAGCUAUGCAAGGUUAGGACCAUCCAGUUUGGACAAAAGGGAAUCCCUUACCUCAACACAUACGACGGUCGCACCAUCCGUUACCCCGACCCGCUCAUCAAACCCAACGACACCAUCAAGCUAGACCUCGAGGAGAACAAGAUUGUGGAGUUCAUCAAGUUUGACGUUGGUAACGUUGUGAUGGUGACUGGUGGCAGGAACAGAGGGCGUGUUGGUGUGAUUAAGAACCGUGAGAAGCAUAAGGGAAGCUUUGAGACGAUUCACAUUCAAGACUCUACGGGGCAUGAGUUUGCCACGAGGUUGGGCAAUGUGUUCACUCUGGGGAAAGGAACAAAGCCGUGGGUGUCUCUUCCAAAGGGUAAAGGUAUUAAGCUGACUAUUAUUGAGGAAGCUAGGAAGAGGCUUUCUGCUCAACAAGCUGCUUAAAAGUUGAAUCAUCCAAGACCGUUUGCUACCUUCUUGCUUCAGUUUUGAGCUUUUUUCUGUUGCAUGUUUCUUGCUUGCAAAACCCCAUAAGAAAGAAAAAACAGCUGAGCAUUUUAGAGCGUUUUGUAAUAUUUGUAUUGAUUUUAAAAAAGUAAUUUACUCUUCAAAAUCAUUCACUUGUGAUGUACUCGCAAAAUGAUGCUGCAAUGUCAAUGGAUCUGGGGAAAAUAAUUCUCAGUUUUCAAAUUUAAGCCAAUAACUGAAUAAAAUUUUAACUUACAAAUUAGAUAUUCUAAUCACUAAUUUUUCUGUCAAACACAAAUAAAUUUUAUAUUUUCGCUGACCAUGCUAUUUUAGACCUGUUGAAAAUCAACUCUUAAGCUUGUUAUUGAAUUUUAUUAGAUGAUUUUUGACGGAUUUAAAAUGAUUUGGUUAAUAAAAGUAUAUGAUUUAUUCAUGGUUGACUGAAAAGUUAGUGAUUAAAAUGGUAGAUAUGUAAUUGAUGUUUUUUUUUUGUUUAAAUUUGAAAGUUGGAAUUAUUCUGGAGUUUUUUUUUCCUUUAAUCCAGUAUGCACAUUCAAAUUAUGAAAGUGAUAUUUUGAUUUGUACUAGUUUGUCCAGGUCACCGUGGACUGACAAAGUCAAGCUCAAAACAAAGAAUGACAAACCUUUUCAAACCAUUUCCUAAGUUAAGUAUGAACCAUUCCUUUGCUUUUUGCAUUCUCUUGUUUCAUGUUUGGCCAUAUAUGUUUUAUUUGUUUGUAAGUUGUAACGUUCAGUGAUUGUGGAGCUACAAAACAAAAAUAUGUAAGCCGCCUUAUAAAAGUCAAAUAUCCGAGUGUUUUAACUAAACACGCUUCACACUAUGUCACAUGUAAUAACCCUUUAUAAUUGCUUGAUCUUUCCCUCUCUCACUUAGUCAAAUAUCAUUCCCUUAGUUUCCUGGAAACUUCCUCCUCUGCAGUAAAGAAAAGAAGAAGAAGAGUAUCACAUACACUAACCAUUGAUGGCCUCUUUCAACCAGCAAAGAUCUGUUCCUAAGUUCAAGUCAGCAACACCGUCUCCACUUCCUCUCUCUUCCUACUUCCCUAUGCCUCCUGGUCUUACUCAAGCCGACCUUCUUGACUCUCCUCUUCUCUUCACUUCCUCUAACGUAUGUUCGCUUCUCUCUUAUCACUUGAAACUAUUUUCUCCCAUUUGACUUCAAGAAACCCAUUUGUCUUUUUCUUGGGAUUGUAACAACUUAAUGUAAUAACUAAUAAGUGAAGUUUCCUGUUCUUUAGUUAAGAAAAGCAACUCCUGUCUGGUUCAUUACUCUUGUCUUCUGUCUGGUUCACAGGUUUUGCCAUCUCCAACGACAGGCACGUUUCCUUUGGAAUCUCUGAACUGGAAGAACAACGGUUUGCUUACCAACCGGAAUGAAAUCAAAGCUGAAGAUGGGAAGGAGGAGCACCUUGAUUUUGCCUUCACUACCAACAAGACAUCUCCUCCUCCCUUCCUAUCUCAUUUUCAGACAGGAGAUCAGCCUUCAACCCAAGUGGAUGUACCCAAAUUUGAGUCAUCAGGUAACAAAACCUCUGAAGAUGGAUACAACUGGCGAAAAUACGGACAGAAGCAAGUCAAAGGAAGCGAAAACCCUAGGAGUUACUUCAGAUGCACGUAUCCAAACUGCGUCACAAAGAAGAAAGUAGAGACUUCUCUUGUGAAGGGUCAUGUCACUGAGAUUGUCUAUAAAGGAAGCCACAAUCAUCCCAAACCUCAGUUCAGUAAGAGGUCAGCUUCCACUGCAGCAACAAAUGACGUCAGUUCUCAUCAGAGUGGUGGUGAAGAUAACGUAGAUGCCAAAAGAGGGUAAGUAAAAUCAUACUCACUCCGUUUCAUAUUAGUUGUCGUUGUAGAAUAAAAUUUUCGAUACAAAAUAAGUGUUGAUUUGGAAUUUCAAUACAAAAUUUAUUAACAUUAUUCUCCGGUCUAUUUUUUUAAAUCGGUUAAAAUGUGGUUAAUGAUGUUUUUAUUUAGAAAAUAUACAAAAUUAAAUGUUUCUUAAUUGUGUACACAAAUCUAAAAUGACAUUUAAAAUGGAACGGAAGGAGUAUGUCAAAAGUGAGAAAACAAUGAGAUGUGAUUUGGAUUGUUUGUAUUAAUGCAGGGAAAGACAAGAGGCUGUGAAGGAGCCAAGAGUGGUGGUUCAGACAACAAGUGAAAUAGACAUUCUUGACGAUGGUUAUAGAUGGAGAAAGUAUGGUCAGAAAGUCGUUAAAGGCAAUCCAAAUCCAAGGUUUUGUUUCUUUCUUUGUUCUCAACUUCAGUUUACAAGGAGGCGCUUUUUGACCUAAAACGUGUGAUGCACGCAGGAGCUAUUACAAGUGCACAUUCACAGGAUGUUGCGUAAGGAAGCAAGUGGAGAGAGCAUUCCAUGACGCAAAGUCAGUGAUCACCACUUACGAAGGAAAGCAUAACCACCAAAUCCCAAACCCAAAGAAGACGUCACACCUCAACAUGAUCUCAGACUGUGUCAGCUUUUAGUUUUUCAGAACGUUAUGUAACAAAUGAUGUAAUAAACAUAGAAAAGGCACAUGCUAUUAGCUGACAUUUUGAAGUAAAAGCAAAUCCAUUCACUUUCUUUAUAUCUUUCGUCCCUCUGAUGGUGACUGUGGCCAUCCACGGUGCGUUUCGUGCACCUGAAGAUUUGUUUCUUGAGGAACAAGAAACCAUUGGAUCAGGUCUUUUCAACUUCUUUAACCAAACUGCCUCAAAGGCAGCUGUUAGGCAUAUCUUUGAAGCCGUUGACUGAGUUCCAAUCACAGUCUCAAUCCCGUAAAGCCCCUAUUAAGCUUAUCUACCAGUGAAACAAUAUAGUCCUAUAAGAAAAAUUAUUAAAAGACCCGUUGAGCUAACCCCAAUUUUAGAAGGCCCAUGAGCCUGAUUCCAAUCUACUUAUACAAAGACCCAUGUUUCUUAAGGCCCGUGAAGAAACAAAGUAAAAUCACGUCUAAAUCAACCUCAAAUGCCAUGUGUGCAUAAAUACAUCAUAGGAAAGACAGAAAAAAAUAGCGUAUAAAAUAUAAUAAGUUUGCUACAACGAUCCAAACUAAUUUAAAUAUUUAAAAUUUUGAUAUCACAGUAUCUAUAAAAUCCAAUGGGUCGAGAUUCAAGAAAAUCAUUUAAAAUAAUUAAUGAUCUCUGGCCAUUUACAAUUUAGUUUUCCGUUGAAGACAAAGACCAUGGAAAAGACAAAACGACCCGAGGUAUAAACAAUACAAGUCAUCUCUUACGUAAGCAUAAAGUUAAAUUAAGGAAAAAUACAAUCUCCACAUUGUCAUUUCAGAAAAAUACAAAUUUUGAAAGAUUGGGUAUCGUGAGAAACAUAUAUAGAUAUUUGUUUAUACAUAUAUGUUUAUUUUAUGACCUAACUCCAAACUCACUAGGUUAAAACAUUAGCAAUUGAUUGUGACUAUACUGUGUGACCACAUUUUAUUGUAUUUGGAACGAUCUUGUUGUUGAUCCUAUAAGACAUCAUGCUUAUGUCAUUUCAAUACCCAUCAUCUAAUUAAGUCAUUUGUUUGAUCCAGUCCCGGACCAACCUUUUAUAUUGUCCCAAUCAAAAUUUAAAACUAUGCCCUCGUACAUGUUUUAUCAAGAUCACAAAACAUUAUAAAAAAUAACUUAAAUUUUCAUUAAAAAAAAUCAAAUUUCAUAAUAUGUUCAUAAAAAACAUUGAUAUAAAAACACUUAUUGCUAAAAUAUAGAUCUUCUUGCAUUUUUUCCUGCAAAAUCAUCCAUUAAACUCCUAUAGUCAAGUUUUUCGACCAUAGCAGUCUCAAUUGAUAACAUAGCCAACCUAUUCAACCUUUCUUGUGACAUGGUAGACCGCAUAUAAUUAUUUAUUAGCUUUAACUUCGAAAAACUUCUUUCAGCUGUGGCAACCGACACCGGAAUAGUCAACAAUAUGCGAUAAGCAAUUUCUGUGUUUUGACAACAAUCCUCCAUUUUUUCAAAAAAUCAAGCACUUCAAUAGGCUUUCAAACUUAAACAUAUGGUUUUGUAAGGGAAGUAUAAACUAUUAUCUAAAAUAUAAAUUUACUAAUAUAUUUAAAAAAUUUGACAAAUCUUAUUAUAACUAAACAUGUCCAAUAGAUAAUAUUUUAACAAAAUAACCUACAGAUUUUCUUUUUAUGUAUAUACUAAUAAUUUUAUUUUUUAAAAAAAUAUGCCACACUAAUUUGAAUGCCCUAAUCUUUGGCUUGGGUGGCUUCCCCUCGAGGCCGGCCCUACUUUGAUCACAAGAUACGUAUUGUCAUCUCGUUUAACACAGUGCCUUAUUUUCAAUGAAUUUUGAUAAGGUGUGACCACAUUUUUUUUAUUUUUUUUUGGCUAACUACUCCAAUUUUUUUGAUAAGGCGUAACAAAUUGUCAUCUCGUUUAACACAGUGCCUUAUUUUCAAUGAAUUUUGUUAGCAAGAGAGAUUGGCUGUUUAUUAACUCUAGUCAAAUAGAGAGUUUUACAUGAUUUGAAGAAAUUUUUACCAGUAAUUGGAUGUGUAUCAAUGUUCGACCUGUAUGCUUGGUAUAUAGAAAUAUAUUUACGGGAAAAUGGAUUUUGGAAUUUACCUUUCUAAAUUUCUGAUUUUUGUACCAUCUUCUUCGGAAACGUACAAAAUACAUUUUCAUGAAAUAUCUCAAAUGAUAUACAUUCUGACAAUGUAUCCUUACAUUAAAUGCGAUAUAACUGAGAGAUAUUUGUUUUAUUUUCAGAAAAAAUUGAAGGCAAUAAUUUUAUACCUGUAUUCUUUAUUUUUGAAAAAGGUCUCGCUACACCAUUAUUAUGUAUUUACGCGUUUAUUUGUCUUUUUCCAAUAACAUUAAAGUAAGCUAGGGUUUGAAUGCUUGUAUCGUAUACAGUUUCUAAGAAGUAGCUACAAAAAAAUCUACAUUUAAAUAUGAGAUACCCAAAAUCAAAGGUUGUGAUUGUAAGAGAGCAUCAAGUUUUUUGUGGGUGCAUUUACUUCACUUGCUGGGCCAUUUCUUUGAUUUGCAAUCUUAUUUGAAUUAUUGUAUCAUAAAUUAUAUAAUCCAAUUCCAAAAGAAGAAAACGGAGAGAAAUGUGAAAAUGAUUUUAACAAAAAAAAAAGAAGUGAAAAUGCUAAAUAAGAAAUACAGUCGUGUAGCUGGGACUGGAUAGAGAUCACUGUCGUGAAGUGUGUAAUUGAGACGGCAGAAAGGAGACAGCAGAGAUUGCACGUGAAGCACGUGAAUAGAGCCUGGUUUACCUUAUGUGAAGUAGGGGAUGGCCCAUUGGGCCUUUUUCAGAUGGUUACGUUUCUUCAUUUUUUUUUUUUUUUUUGCCGUCUGAUAUUUAUAAAACCAAAAACAUUAAUAGCCUGCUUGUAAAUUAUGUUUUUUUGGUUACGUUUCUUCAUUUAUCUAUCUAACUAUUUAUACGUGCAAUAAAUAUAUAAAACAAAGUUCACGCUUAAUGUGAUUUGUCCUUUCUUAAUCAAUAGGUUUUCCUUUUAUGAUUUGAUUCAUAGUUUUUUUGGUCAAACAACUUGGUUCUUAGUAUUGUUGGUGAUACAUAUCAUAACAAAUUUCCUGCAAAAAGAAAAUUUAAACAAAAUUAUUGCGUACUAUAGCUACAUUUACAUAUUUGUAUGUAAACUAGAGACAAAACAGUACACAUUCAAAUAUCAAAAAUUUACAAGUGAUGCUAUCAAGCCUAAGAUAUGUAGGAUUUUUAUAAGCUAAUGUGUUGGCAACCUAAAUUAAUAUUUUGGAUAUCCAUAUGAAUUUUCGUAUGCAGAAAAGAAAAUACAAUUAUUACAUCACUGGAGUUAUGCCAUGUAUUGUUUGUUUGUUUUGUUAUAAGAGCAUCUCCAAUCCUCAUAAUUACUUUAUAAUAGAAUUUGAAGUAAGAAAUACUCUAACUCCACUUUAUUUUCUAUUUCAAAUAAAAUGAAUUUACAUAUAUAUGAUAUUUCUUAUCAUAUUACAUUUUAUUUCCAAGAAAAUAAAAGAAGAAGACAAAAGCAAGUACGUUGUCUUCUUGCAUGGCACAAGUACAACCAACCAAACCUCCUAUAGAUUUAGAGAUACACACAUUACAUACUGGAAUCUAUUUUUUUUUCCUCUCGUGGUCGAAUCGAAUUUUGGUUUUACUGUUUUUAUCAAUUCUCUCACUAAUGGAAUCUAAAAUUCUUGUGUGGAGUGAAAAAAUGGAUAGUGGAAAAGGCAAAUAUACCAUUCAUAAUUCCAAAAGUAGGACCAUGGUUUGGAUCUAUUAUUUUUUUUCGUUUUUAGCCUUGAUACAAUGUUCGGUCUUAUAGUAUAUAUUAAAACACGAUCGCAGCCUACUAACACGACGCACAAUCUUCUGCUGUUUUUUCCCCUAUACAUUUGCAAUAUAUUGAUGUUUUAUCUGGUAUAUUUAAUAGUAUCCUUUGAUGUCCAAAUUGCAUAUUAGUUAAUGUUAUUGUCAAUGUUUAUAUGCUAGUAGUCUAAUGGUUGAGUCGUCUUUAAUCUUUAAGAGUCACCUGGUGUGGAAUUAAUAUUAACUGUUUGUUAAAUCAUAUAACCAUUUUAUUUUUACAAAUGACUGAAAUAAUUAUUUAAAUUAAUGCUAUAUUUUAUGAGUACUAUUUUUAAUUUAAUGACGUAAUAAAUAGAAAUCAUCACUAAAUGAUAACAUCACCAGUGAAGUACAUAUAUUUAUUUAUUUGCAAAUUUUAUCUUACACCAACCACCAUAAAAACAAGCUAAUAAAUAAUCAAAACAAAAGACAAAAGGCUCCUUAUCAGAGUGAUCUCUACUGUCUCUUAAGAAUCUACAAGUCUUCUGGACCACAUCAUUGUCUCCUUAUUUUAGAAACUUCUUCUGUUCUUAAGCCAAUUUGAGAACUCUUCAAGAGUGUUCAUGUCUGAUCUAUAAUGCUUCUGUGUGAACUCAAGAAACAUAGACCAUGUAAAAUCAGGAUACUCUCUUUCACCAGACAUCACUCUUACUAGUUCUUCUGGUGGCUUCACUACUUUGUCUUUUUUCGGACAUAGGAAGAAUGCCAAUGUUUUCCUAUCCUUCUCGCUGUUCACCACCGCCCGAUGCAAACAACUCUUGUAUAUACCAUUUGUUAACGCCUAAUUAUGACACAAAAAAAAAACAAAAAAUGUUAAGAGUUUCUUGUCAUUUGAUCUACAUGCAUUGACCAUCAUAAUAAUUAUAAGUACCAUGAAAGUGUCGCCUAUGUUGACAACGACUGAUUGAGGGUUAGGAGGAAUGGAUUGCCAUUUGUUGUCCACGAAAACUUCAAGACCAUCGACUUGGUCUUGAUGAAGUAUGGUUAGAGAUGUUGGGUCGCAGUGAGGUCCUGUCCCUAAUGCAAGCUCCGGUUGCUUGCACUGCGGAUAGUAAUUCAACCUUAAUAUUGACUCAUUGUCUUCAAAAAAGUCUCUAAAAUGUCUCCUCUCGAUCCCAAGACACAUUCCAAGCAGCUCCAUGAUCUUUAGUGAGAGAAUGUUCAUGGCCUCAGCAUAUUCUUGAUAAACCUUUCUGCAUGUAUAAAACAAAUCAAUUACGUUGGUAACCAUAGUUAGAACCGGUCUGGGCAUGGUGAGGUGAAUCAUUAUUUUUGGGUUCUCAAAUAUUUAUUAGAGCAUCAUUAACGGGGGUUCUUAGGAUGGAGCUCUUAGCGGAAUAUAAGAACCCGACUCUUAAUUUUUAACUGAAAAUGCUAAGAGUCGGCUCUUAAAUAAGAGAUUUAAGAGCCGACUCUUAACUUUUUCAGUUAAAAGUUAAGAGUCGGGUUCUUAUAUUCUGCUAAGAACCAUGUACUAAGAACCCUACGUUAAUGAUGGUCUUAGUUAAUACACAAAUAGACCUGAACCUCCAAUUUUUUUUUUAUUAUUAAAUUUUUUACUAAUUUAUUUUUGGCCCCAAAGUUUUAAUAGUGAUGUGUCUUUUUGGAUAUUGAAAGAAAGGUUCAAAAAUAGUUGUUAAUUAAUUUGAUUACCCGAAAUCGUCAUAUCCAUCUCCCAUUUUUUCAGAAACAAAGUCUUUGAUGUUUUGGGAAUGGCACUUCUCCUCGGGCGAGAACUUAAACGACAGCGUUUCCUUCCACGGGAGCUUAGAGGAGUAUCUCCCAACGAAGCUACUAGCGUAACCGGAGCUCUCGCCCCACUUCCUCCUAGCCUUCUGUUUCUCACAAGCGGGAGCCUUAAAGAAAGAGUCCAUAAAGAGAUGGGCACGAGACAAGAGCGUCUCAUCAACUCCAUGGUUAGUGACUAGGAAGAAGCCAUGUUUCUUUGAAGCCUCAGAGACGAGUCUAGUAGCCUCCGAGACUAAGAACGGGUCACCAGAGAGGAAACCGGCAAGGUCUACGAGAGGGACUUGGAGAGGUUGAACAUCCGAGGAAGGUUUCUCGUGGUCGGGCCAUACGAACUGUUGAGGUAUGUGGUUUGACUGCUGGUUCAGGAGAUUUGCAUCGAAGAUUGAAGGAUCCUCUUUGGUUUUGUUUUCACUGAAUCUUUGAGGGAGAGCUGUGAUGCAUUCCAUUGCCAUUUAUGUAUAGAUGUAGUAAUGGAAAUGAAAUAAAGGUUCUUUAGUAGAUAUAGAAAUGAAUAAACGUUAAGAGAUUUAUUCCAUUGCCAUUUAUGGUCUUUAUAAGUGGAGAAGAAAAGAUUGAUAUGUUGCUCAAAAAAAAUAAAAAAUGAUUGAUAUUUAUGGUGCGAGGAUACUGUGACAGUGUGACGUCAGUGUUUUUGUGUGUUAUCAAAUGCUUUGUCUUUAUUUGUGGAUAAAUCAAAACCUUGGUUUUAUUUAAUCUUUAUAAAGGGGUUUUGUAAGUUAGUUACUUGAAAUCAAAAUGGUAUCAUAAACAUUUUUCAAGAUAUAGAUGAUAGGACUAUAGUUAUAGAAUUUUAGAUCAUUUUGAAAUAUAUGGGGUAGUUUCUAAAUGUUUGCGGUAAAUUUGAUGUAAAAAUAAGAUUUUUUUUUGAAUCAAAAGAGUUAAAACUACUGAUUUUACUAGGCUUGUGGGGUUUUCGUAAUUCGGAUAGUUUGGAUCUGGUAGUUUGGUUCGCCUAAAAUUUCACUGAAUUGUGCCGAAAAAAUUUGAUUCAGUUCGGUUUAAUAUUUUCACAAUUCAGUUUUUAAAAUUUUCACUAAAAAUUAGUUCGAUUUGAAAUUGGUUGACAGUUUUUUUUCUUUUUUAUUUUGAAAAUUGAACUUAUCAAUUACCGAACCGAACUGAAGAAAGAUAUUUUUUAUAAACCUGUCUAAUCAAACCGAACUUCUUACUAAACUAAUCAAAAUUUUGGUUUGGUUCGAUUCAAAAUCCCAGGCGUAGACUCUACAAUACAAGAAUUGUCCGUUACAAACUUCAUCAAAGAACCGACCCUUUCAUCAUGUUUUUUUUUUCUUUUUUACAUCCCGGCUGUUUCAUCAUUUUAGUGAAACGGUCACAGUUUAUCGGGGAAAGCUGGUGGGAUUUGUGAGACCCAUCACAACUUUAAUAACAACCAGAUCUUGACCCGCGUCUCCGGGUAUUGGAUUUAACUUGCGUUCAAUGUAAAUUUAUAAACCAUUGAUUUUAUAAAAUGUUCAUUUAUAUUUUUAUGUUUUGUAAAAUAUAUUUAGAGUAGAAUAUAUUAUAUUAUAAUAUAGAUGUUUGAUAAUAAUUUUUUAUCUGUACGUAAUAUUACAUUUAUAAUUUUAUAACUUGAUGCAAUUUGAUGUAAUUGUAAUAUUCAUAUAUUAACCUAUUGAUUCGUUUGUUUAUUUAUUUAAAAAUGAUUUAAUUUUUUACAGUAGGUUUUUAUGAAUUAUUAUUAAUUUUAUGAUAUUUGGUUUUCUUAAAAAUUAUAUUAUAGCAGAUUAAUAUAUAUUAUAGUUUGUGUUUUAUUUUCAGCAAAAAGAAAUAACAAUUUAUUGUAAUUAAUUAAUUUAAAUUUUUGAUUUUAGGUGAAGUGGUAGAUUUGUAAAUAAGAAAGAAAUACAAUGGCUAAAUGUGUAAAUAAAAAGAAAUAUUUAAUCUGUUAUCCGUGUUUGUUUCCAAACAAUUCUCAUUUAAUCUGCUAUCCAAGUUUCCAAACGACAGAAUCUGUAAAUGAAAAAGAAAUACGGUGACUAAAUAUGUAAAUAAAAAGAAAUAUUUAAUCUGCUAUCUUUGUUUCCAAACAACUUUUAUUUAAUUUACUAUCUAAGUUUUCAAAUAAUACCAAAAUGUACUUCAGUUUUAAUAAUAUAGAUGCCAAAUGCUACUAGCUGUAUAUGCAAGUAAUUUUAAGAUAAUUUGGCCUUUUCUAGUUUUCUUAGUUGUUAAAGAUGUUUUUUUAAUCAAUUGGUAAGAUGGUUUUUUCAAACAUUUAAAACUACAUAUUCUUUUUCUUUUGAACUAAAAAACUACAGAUUCUUGUUGUUAAAGAAACCGAACGUUUCAUCUUCCUAAGAGCAUCUCCAAUGUAAAAUUCUAUUUUUUCCUCUAACGUGAAGUAAAAGUGAAAAUUGAGUAAAAUUGCUCAAAUCCUACUUCAUUUUCCACUCUAUAAUGGAGUGAUGAACAAACAAAAAAUAGAUUACUCUAUUCUAUUUAUGGAGUAAAUUUUAUUAUGGAGUGAGAUAUGAAGUUGGGUUUGAACAUUCCUUACUCCAUAUUCAUUUUUACUCUCCAUUUUAGAAGAAAAAAUGGAGUAAGGAUGGAAAUGCCCUAAAGCAGCAAUAUAAAGAAUUUGUUUAUUGGCUUAUGCAUAAAGAAAAUGAAAAAACUUUGACAAACAAAAUAAAAGAAGAAAACAAAUACGUUACGGAACACUAUAGGUCGACAACAAUAUAAAAAUGAAACAUAUAAAUUAAAUUUAGCUUUAUAAAAUUACAAAAUAUAAAUUUAGCUGCAACUGACUAAAAAAUUAAUCUUUCAAUAAAAAAAAUUCUGGCAAAGCCACAGGAAAUUUAUUUGACACAUAAAUCAAUUUUUAUUAAUAGAUGUACUUAACUUUUCAGAAAAAGUCUAUUUAAACUAAUAUGUUCAGUAAAAAAAUCUUUGUACAGUUCUUUUCGUGGUGUAGAGAGUGGAGUUGUUUGACAGAACACACAAAUUUGAAGCGGUGAAGAUUGUCUUAUUAUGAAGAGUGUGGCAGUACAAAAUUUUCAGUGAUGUCUAUGAGCGACACAGCUUCAAGGUGCAUGGAGAUGCAUAUGUAUUCUCUGGUUUUUAUUGGUUUUGGUAGUUUUUGGAGAAGGAAUAUAUGUAUUCAUCUAAAUUGUCUUCUACAUAAUAUAUGAUUUUUGGAUGUAUAGAAACGGACAUUACCAUCUUAACGUAACCGUUUUCUUUAGUCUACACGAUUCCAUCCUCGAGCAUAUCGGUUUGGUCUUUUGUGAUAGGUCGUGUUCUCUGUGUGCCAAAUGACAUUUGCCAAUUGCCAAAGACCUAAAACAUGCAAUUUCGGUUUGUAACUGCAAAACAAAAACCUUCUGUAACUGAAUAGAACCAAGCCCAAAAAAAUCAAGCCCAAAAAAUCAAGGUCCAAGACACCAACAUAGGAAACCCUAAACAAAAACCCAAACCAAAGAAAAUCUAAACCCAAAGCCCAACAACAGGCAUCCCAAAAAAGAAACGACACCUAAUGUCCACAACGUGUUUAACUCCAACAACGGAGUAACCACGUGUCGCCCAUGCCUCCAUCGCUUUCACCGCCUCGGGGAUCAAGGCCGGUGUGCAGCCGACGAUACACCGGAAUCCUCCAUCUCCCACCGGAGUCAUCUCAGAAACACGAAACUCCACUAUCUUUCCCGACUUCAAUCUCCUCCACCGAACCAAACAAAGCAAUAAAACCACCGGAAAUUCAACCACAACCACCGAAAAAGCCACCUCCAGCGACUGUAUUAGAAAAUAAAGGCUUCAUCAUCUAACAACAUACCCUGAGCUUUGGAGAGCAUCAAUUGAUUAGAACCGAGAUCUCGUCCAAACUCAUACUUUGCUUCAUAAUAAAGCCCAACUUUAAUCAAGAUCAAUCCUCCAAACGAACUCGAACUUUCUGUCCGAAGAGGAAAUCAAUUGAAGGUGAGAAAGAGAGAACGAGACUAGCGGAGCUUAGGGAGCCGGGAUAACCCCGAGAAAAAGCCAUCAACACCGCCAAAACCCAGGCUGGAUGUUUCCGUCUAGAAGAUCGCGGAGCACCAGAGUCUAAGCCAGCUACACCGCGGAGGAGAUCACCGUGUACCGGAGUCAAUAUCACAAACCAGAAGGAAAAGGAAAGAAGAAAACCACCACGACUCAGACUUUCUCUCUCAAGGAUUCUUAAGAAAGAAGGGAGAGAGUCUACCCAUUCCCUUCAUUUUAACUAUGUUGAAUAGAACUUGACUUUUUAUAACGCAUUGUUAUUUUUUUAAUUUUAAUACAUUUUUUAGUUUUAUCCUUCACAUAAUUUAUUGAUUAUGCUUUUAAACAUAGAAGAUUCCAGCAUUUCAUUUUGAAAGGACAUGCAAGCCAAUUUGCCUACAUUUGUCCUAACAAAACGAUAAUAAAAAGAUUUUAUAUAUUACUUUUGGAGGAAAUAUAACUGGCGUAUGUAUGUGUAAGUCACUUUGGGUAUCUAAAUAUGAUGGAAUGUCUUGACUUCUUCCUUCAAUUAGCACUACAACUAGUAAGUCAUGUACAAGUCCUUUUUUGAUCCACUUUGUCACUUUACUAUAAAGCAUGUUCUUUGUUGAUCUUAGAGAUGAACUACACAAGAUAGUGUGUAAUGUCGGAUUUGCUAUAUGGAUAGCGCUUUUAAAGGAAAGUGACAUUAUUGAGUGGAUUUUAUAACCCUAAAUAUAGAAGCUGGUCCACAAUCUGUCUUUCCUGUUGACGUCUAAUCCAUCAGUGAUGUAAGAUUUUGGUUGGAAAGAAAUGUGUAAGCGACGUCUAUAGACAUUAGCUUUUAAACUAGUGAGUUCCAUUGUCUCUAGUGAAUAAUGAUAAGAAAACAUGAAUCACGCACUACCUUUUUUGCAUAUGCAUAGCACCAUAUUGGCAUAUGAACUAAUACCACGAAUCAUACAUUGUAAUUUGAACUAGUGAUCCAUCGAUCUGUAUAAUGAAACUACAUGUUUAGUUGCAUUAUCGACACCAUUAAUGGUAUGAUAUUUUGACUGCAAUGAUAUAACAAAUAUGUAAACAGUUAUUACAAAUAUAAACAUUUUCUAUAUUUACCUAGCUGUACCAAUCGAAGAAACUAUUUCCAUUUUAUGCGUCACAAUUUACAAUAUAUACACAUGCUAGGUUGAUUCUAUGGGAUUAGAAAUUAGUAUGUAGUUUUUCUGUACAUUUAUAGCAUGGCGACAUUCAGAGAUCAAAUAGAUAGUUUUUUUUCUGUACAUUUAUAACUUAGGAACUUCUCCUAGCCUCUCUGGCGCCUUUCUGGUGCUGCGAGAGGGCCCUAAAAUCUCCCACCUGUCCAUGUCUCUUCCUUCUGUUGAUUUCCGUUCAACUUGUCUCCUUGCGCGGCGCCUCUGGAUCUGUUGGAGCUCUCCUCCAGAUAGUCGGAUAUCAAAGUCGUUUUUGGUUCUUCUGGAGAACCGGCGAGCAAAAUGGAGUCGGGAUUCCCCUAGGGCCCUGAGUCUCCUGCUAAUCACCGAUUGCGCUCGAAGUUGGGUCAACUUUGAGAUCCGAGACAGCCAGAACACCAGACGCUUCGCUACCGUCUCCGUUCUCGCACCUGUAUCUCGCUCCAGUCGGCUACUCUAUCAGGUCUCUCCAAGGUUCUCCGUAGAGCUUCUCCUCUCUGUUGAGUGAAAAGUGGCUGUGAGGUAAGCCAUUGACGACCUCUCUCCUUAGUUCAAAAGACAACAACCGUGGUGGUCUCUGGUUUCAGCUUGGUAACGUCUUCUUUCUUCCGAUGUUGUUCUCCUGGGUCUUGAGGACAACCCAUUGUUACAAUGUCACCUGCUUCAAAGCGAAGCCUUCUUCUACCCUGAGCCGUCUGCUUUCAAGGAGUAUCUUUACUUCUUUCGUCCUUCAAUUCCAUCCUCCUAAGCUCUGGUGCUAAGCUUGUGUGUGUCCUAAAGUCGUUGUUGUAUCCAUUGUGUCGCGUAGCCGGAUAGGGAGCCAAAUCGACCGUAUGCGCUUGAUCGUAGCCUGCUCUUCAUGUUCACGGCGUCGAAGUUGGUUCUACAUGUUAGCAAACACCGAGAAAGCUUGAGAUUUGUUGACCAGCGUCCUCCUCCACCGGAGCUCUGGGAUGGAAGCCAGCCGUCGCCGUCGAUGCCUGCUUGGAGCCACUUCGGUGAGACCUGACUAAACAUCUCUUAUGGUUUUACUCUCAUUGUCUAUGGUUGCUACUUUGAUAUGAGAAGUGGUUGGGAGGGGGAGAUCAAAGUGUUAGUCUUUUGUUCUAGUUUGGUAUCAUAUUUCGAGCUUCCAUUGUUUGGUUAAGAUUGAACAUGAUUUUUGGGGUUUGAGGGUUUUUUUAAACUUUUUUGCACCUCUAAACUCUCAAAAUGGCUGAAAAAUAGACUAGAUUGCAUUAGCAUGUAAUCAAACCUUCAUUAAACAUUUACAAUUUAGCAAAAAAAAAGGCCUAUCUAUUUGAUAUCUUUUAAAAAUUUGAGUUAGGAUUUCGUUUAUAUUUACCUAUGGGUCUAUGAUAAUGUUUAGACCCAAACUAUACGGGCCCAUAAAUCGAAGAUGAUUGAUCUGUAUAUUAAAACGAAAGCUAUGCUACAGCCAAAAGGUUGAAGUCUAUAUAUAAAAGAGUGAACAGAUCAGUUUUAAGAAAAUUGAGAUAUAAUCGUAUAUUAUGUAUUCGGUAAUAUGGGUUAUACAUUAUGAUCUAUGUAUUAGAUUCUAAUAAUGUCGAUACCCGAAUCUCGUUUGCAUCCAGGAGAAUUCAAACAUAUGCAAAUAUUAGUAUUUUUUUCAAUUUUAAAGUAUUUGUUUGUUUAUGUAUAUUUCCAUCUUAAUAGAUUUUUUACCUAAUACUUUUUAUAAUUCAUUUUUUUAUCGAUGUCAUUCAAUAUUCAUAUAUACUAUGUGACUUUUAUGCGUUUAUAUAUGGAUACAAAUAUUUACAAAAUACAUAACUUAGCAUAAUUGAUUAAUAUUUUAUUUUCAAUUUUAAAAGUUUUAAAUAGUUUUGUAAUGUAAUUUAUAUAUAUUAAAAAUAAUAGGAUAUUAUUUUAAAUUUAUAUGUAAAUUUUCUCAUAAAAAUUUAUCGGUUCACUUUUUUGAAUAUUAGAUUGCAUAUAUUCCUCAUAGUUAUAUUGUAAUUAUUUCGUAAUUCUAAAUAGAUUAAAAUUAAAUUAAUCAUUUUCUUGCGUUUAGCUUGAUUUAGUGUGUUGGAUUUAUAAUAUAUUUUCGUUAGAUUAUAUAUAGUUUGAUAUAUAUUAAUUUAGAAAAAUAUUGUAGGUUUAAAAUUGCAUAACUGUAUAAUAGUAUUAUAUCACUGACUUAGUUAUGCCUUUUAUUUUGAGUAUAAGAAUCAUGACGGUCACUUACUCAUUAUUUAGGUAUAUUGAGUUGUAUAUAUUCGUUUAAAAUGAAUCACAACUAUUGUUUUGUUCUAGUCAGAUUAAAAUGAUUAAUUUUAUUGUCUUUAUUUUAGUUAUUUGAAAAUAUAUUAUUUAUUUUUUAAAAUAAAAUAUUUAUAUUUUUUUUGAAACUAUGUUUUAUGUAUAAAAACCUAUCUAUUUUAAAAAUCAUAGAUUUCUUCUUUUAUUUAUGUUGUGUUAAUAUGAAAAAAAUAAAAGUUGUUAUGAAUAUAUACUUAUAACAUAUAAUAUCUAUAUAUAAUUGCUAAAUAUAGAUCACCUAGAUGAAUGCAUAUAUCUAGAUAUUAUAAGUAAAUAUAAUAGAAAUAUUAUUUAUAUACAUGCAUGAACACGGGAGACUUAACUAAAAGUAAAAGUAAUUUGUAUACAUAUAUAUUCCUUUUUAGUUUUUUUUUUGUAACUUAAACAACUUAAAAAAAUGAUCAAAAUUUAUUUGUCUAAAACAUUUAUUUUACAUUUUAAUUUGAUCACACAUGUUUAUUAUAUGUUAUUUUAAAAAAAAUAUAUAAUCUGUUUAUGCUAUUUAAAAUACUUUUAUUUGAUUAAAAUUAUUUUAAUAGUAAUAAUAUUGUUUUAUCUUUUGAAAUAAGCAUCUAAAAUAUUUUGUGAAAUUAUAUAUAUAUAUAUAUAUAUAUAUAUAUAUAUAUCUGUAUUUUAAAGCUUAUAGAUAUUUUCCUUUCCUAUUUAUGUUGUUUUAUGAAAAUUAAAAUUUGUUAUGUAUGUAAGAUCUAUGUAUUUUAUAUAUGUUUCCAUUUUAUUAUUUAUUUUAUUGAAAACUAAACCAUAAAUUAUAAUUAAAAUAUUUAGGAAAAAAAUAAAAUAAAAAUAGUUUAUGAUAAUUAUUAGUUCAUCAAAGUUAAUUUUGCAAUUAACUAUUAUGAGACCAACACGUAAAAAUUGACUUUUCAAAUAAUAUUAUAUAGAUAACCUAAAUAUUCUUUAUAUAUCGCGUAAUCUAAUAAAUAAUGUUUAUGUAUUUAUGAUUGAAUUUUUCUAAACAAAGUCAGCCUUUCUUUUUUCUUUAACCAAAAAAAAAACUUUUCUUUCAUCCGUACAGCAGUACCAUGCGUUACGGUUAAUAAUACCCAAACAUAAGUUUAAAUGCAUGGGAGUAAAUGAGAGACUUACUCUUCAAUAUAAUUUGUAUGCUUACAGAACAAUUUGGGUUAUUGUAAAUAAUACUUUUCUGUUUUAUAAAUUUGCCAUUAUGACAUUUUUUUCUUAUUAUAUAAAGAGGAUUAUUUUGAUAAUCUCAAUAUAAUAUAUAAUUGCUUUAGUUUUAAUAAUAAUUGUAAAAUAAAUUGAUACUACAAAUAAUUUAUCUAUCUCAAUUAAUAUUGGUUAAAUAGAUAUAACAAAUAAAAAGUAAAUGAAUUUAAAAAAAAAAGAGCAUGGUUGACUAUUAAAUGAAUUUAAAUAUUGGUCUAAUCUAUGUAGAAAAUGUUAAAGUUACACUCUUUAUGAGCAUGGUUGACUCAAUAAUUUUCUAGACUUUAGGGCAAUACAAAACUAAUACCCUUUAAACUUUGUUUUAAUGUUUAAUAAUCUUUUAAAAUAUUAUACAUAAUUUUUGAAAUAAUAUUGCGAUAAGAUUUAAAAUAUAUUCAUAUAAAAUAUUUUGGGCCUUUUAUUAUAUUUUUUAAAUAAAAGUACAGAUAAUUUCAAAUUUCAAAGUUUUAACUAUGUUGGAUUAGAUUCGAAAAUAUCACACCGUUUGUUCCUUAUUUAAACCGUUUUUUGUUCGUGAAACAGAAAAGAAUAUUAAUAAAAUAUUCAGAAUGGUUUAAGAAACUUAGUUUCUCCUAAUUAUUAAAUCAUGCUAACAUACUUUAUUUUCCCCAUGAUUAAAAACUACUUAUUUUUACAUGCUUCUUUCUCCUAAUUUUUUUUUUUUUUCUGAAACACACUUCUUUCUCCUAAUUACAAACUACUUUUGCGUUCUUAACCACAAAGUACUGGAGCCUAAAUAAACUGAAAACCAUUAAAUAGCCAUUUAUCAGCAAAUCAAGUGUCUUGCAUGCAGCUUAACUUGUUCACUUUUUUCUUGCAUACGUGUUAAUAUAACAUUAGAUUCUCAUCACUUGUUUCCUUAACGUACUUUUUUCUGACAAAGGGCUUAAUCCUUAACGUAUAUUUUCACGUACUUUUAAACUAGACGGACAAUAUUUUGACAACUAGACUGUAGACGUUGAGAAUAACUGACUACAUUUUGACUUUUGAUUAAAGGCGAAAAGAAAAAGAAAUCGCUAACUAAAGAUUAAUAUUUAUUGUUUUCUUUAAAAACAAAAGAUUAAGAAUUAUUGCAAAAUAUAAUAUUUUAAAAGAAAAUGUUGAGUUUUAAUAAAUGACAGUGAUUAUUUUAUACAUGAAUAUAAGCAAAUAAAAAGUCGUGGAAACUAUUUAUAAGAUUCUUUGAAAAAUGAUUUAAGAGAUUGUCAAAAAUGGUAAAAAAAUAAUAUUAUCAUGUUCUAAAAUACGACAAAAUAUAUUAUUAUGAUGUUUUGUCAACUUUUAUUAUGAUAUUUGAACAUUAUUUUUAAAAUAAUAUGUUAUAAUUCACUGUGUAAAAAUUGUUAGUUAAAAUCAAGCAUUCAAUUUUUAAUCGAUGAUUAUUUAAUGAUGAUAAAUCUAAAUUUUGGAGUAAAAUAUUUUUCUUUUACACAGAAACUUUUAAUAAUUAAUUAAUUACUAAUUUAGUUUACAAGAAAAUUUUAAAUAUAACUGAUGAAUAGUAUGAUUGAUAUUAUAUAUUUUUAAUAUUUUAAUUUUAUUCAUUAUAAUAACGACAAAAUUGUCGUUAAAUUGCUAUAUAACAUUACAUACUAAAUUUUUACAGGUAUUAUACUGAAAAACUAGUUUUCAAUAUUCGAACCGCGACAAAAAAUAUCUUUGACACGGUUUAUUGUCUUUAACGAUCAAAACAUUUAAGAAUGUACAACGCUUUUAACACGCAUAAUUUUCAUGCUAUACAACAAAAAGAUAUUGUAUAUUGACAAAAAAAAAAUUCAUAAAUUAAAUAAGUAGGUAAAAAUGUAAUUUUAUUCUUUAACGAUCAAAACAUUUAAGAAUGUACAACGCUUUUAACACGCAUAAUUUUUAUGCUAUACAACAAAAAGAUAUUGUAUAUUGAUAAAAAAAAUUUCAUAAAUUAAAUAAGUAGGUAAAAAUGUAAUUUCAUAAAUUAUAUAUCUAAAUGUUAUUCCACAAUUCAUUAAUCAAAUUAAAUGACGUUUUAUAUUCUACAUUAAACAAUAGUGACAUUUUUAUGGAGUAUUUUUUUGUUAUAGUGUGAAAUCGUUAAAACCUGAUCAAACAAUUAAACUGAGAGAGGUAUUUGUAUUUUCAACUCAUUCUUGUGGUUCCGUACGUGAAAAGACAAUAACAAACAGUUUUGCUUUACCAUGAGUUAUUAAGAAUCAACAGGUGCAUAUGUUCCUUUAAGUAAUUUUGUUGUUUGGAGAACAAAAUCUAUCUCCUAAUCUGCAUAAUAUUUUUAAUCAGGAAACCCGAAGAAUAUAGUUGUAUAUCAAAUCUUAGUUUAAGCUACAUUAUGUAAAUGUGAAGAUCAUUCAUCUCGGGAUACAACUUUAUUAUCGAAAUAAGAACUCUGAUUCUUUUACUAUCGCCCAAAUAUUCUUUACAGUCGUGGUUUCAAUAUUCCCCAUUUGCACUUUGAAAUCCUUAAUCUUCCAAUGUCAUCCAACACAAACAACAUUUUAUCGUUUUCAUAGUUUAAAUAAUUAGUUUGACAGAAAAUUUUGAUUAUAUCACAUUAUUUUCUUAUAGAUUAACUUAACUGUAUAAUAACAUUUUUAUUUUACAUACAAUACUCAGUAAUUUGUCCCUUUCUAACCCAAAUCCAAACGAGAUUCUUAAAAUCUUAUUGAAAAUCAAUCCUAAACGAGAAACAAAAGAUCUUCAGAAAAAAACAAUUGCAUAUAUUUUGUAGAACUAAAAAGAUAUAUAUUGGUAAAUAGCAUUAACUUUUGCUUACUUUAGUCUAGAUUUUUACAUAAAUUAGCACACGGUAUUUUGUUGUUGUAUCUCUUUUUUCUAAAUUAGUAAAACAAAAAUAUAUCAUUAUUAUUUCUUUCUACAAUAAAUUACAUAUGCACCACUACAACAAUGCCAGAUGUUAUAUUAGCGUGUCUACUUUAGGCCGCCUUUAAAUUGAGCUUUCUGUAGCCUGAGUAGUUUAUACAGACUUGAAAACACACAACAAAAAUAUACAAAGACUAGCAGAAUGACUUUUGCCCAAUCUCUCAACAACCAAAGCUCUGUCUUGAGAAUCAAUAUUAUGGUUGUUGAUGAUGAUCCUGUCUCCCGUGAAAUUGUGUCACGCAUGCUUGAAAGAUCCAAAUACAGAGGUAAGGUUAUCAAAUACAAUAUGUUACUAAGUUCUUUGUAACUUCAUUGAUAUUUGAAACCAAUUAGCCGAACAGGAAGGUAGUAAAAUUUUAGCCCUUUCAAAAGUUGCAUUUUGUUGAAUUUCAAAAUUAAAUUUCUUAAUCAUUAGGAUGUGAAAUAUCCAGUUACUUUCACACAUCUAAAUUUUCAAUAUAGAGAUAUUUCUAUUUUGAUGAUUUUUAAACUAAUAGUUUUGGUUGAUACAAAAAUACAACCAAUGUACUAUGUAAGGUUUUCAAAAGUAUAUUGAACAAAAAUGUAAAAAAAAAAAUUUGAUAUGAUAUUUUUACCCAAAAAAUGAUAUUUACAUGGUGUUUUGCGUCACAACAUGAUUUUUUUUUUUGGCUUUCUAAGUUUAAAACUAAUGGAUGUUCUUCAAGUCUACUUUUCUUAUAAAUAGUCAAUCAGUUAGCCUUUCAAAUAAAUUAGUGUAUAACUAACAUCCAUUUUGCACUUUGUUCUCAUUUUAAAAAGCCUAAAACAAUUAAAAGUAAUAAUCUUUGUACUUUACUUUGGUCAAAAUGGCUUUAGAUCCAUCUAUGGAGAUCACAGUUAUAGCUGUAAGAGACGCAAGGGAAGCAUUGUCUACUCUUAAAAUCCAAAGAAACAACAUCGAUCUUAUAGUCACAGACUAUUACAUGCCUGGCAUGAAUGGUCUACAACUCAAACAACAAAUCACUCGACAAUUUGGCAACUUUCCGGUCAUAGGUCAGUUUGUUUUUUUUCUUUUACAACUUACAUACAACUGAAAAAUUAUAAUAUUUUUCUACAAAAUUAUAAUACUUUCCUAAAAAAUGUUGUAUUUCUUUCUAAAAAAAUUGGUAAGAAAUUGUAAUAUUUUUUUAAGAAACUGUAGUAUUUUUAAAAAAAAAAAAAUUAAAUUGUUUUGCUAUAAUUCUAAGUUUUAACUAUUUUUCUAACAUUUUAUAAAAUAUGAAAGUUAUGUCAUCGGACACCAACAAAGAACAAGAGAGUUUAGCUUGUGGAUCGGUGUGUUUCCUUCCAAAACCCAUCAAACCGACUGACCUACCAAAGAUCUACCAAGUUGCUUUUACUUAUAAGAGGAAGGGUAAGUCCAUAUCAAGGACGGAGCACAACCACAUGGAUACAAAUGUUAGCAUCCCUCAGCAAAUCCAGUUGCUUCCUGAACAAGCUAAUGUCUCAAGGACCAAGAAGAACAAGAAGUUCUCAUCUAGAUCAGAUUCACGAUCUGUGAACAGUUUCAAUGGAAGUUGUGAUAGUACAGAUGGUUCACGAAAAAAUUGAAAAAGAAAAUCAAACGGUGAUUUUGGUGAUGAUGAUGAGUCUUUGCCGCAGCCUUCCAAGAAGAGUAAGCUUUCGUGGUCGGACUAUCUUCAUGACCUUUUCUUACAAGCUAUCCACCAUAUUGGUCUUGACAGUAAGUGUUUUAAUUUAUUUUUUAUUAUAACGUAUUUAUACAAUACACAAUAUACUGUUUAUUUUCUUACAUUUUCUUACAAACUUGUUUCGUUGCUGAACUUGAAUCUUCCAAAGAGGCUGUGCCAAAGAAAAUUUUAGAGUUCAUGGACGUAUCAUACUUGACAAGAGAGAACGUUGCCAGCCAUUUACAGGUUUGAUCAUCGAUCUCUUUUUUAAUGUUUUUUGAUGUUUUAAACGGGAUUAUUAUUUUUGUUUUUAACAACAAUUUAUGUUAGUCAACAUUAAACUAACGAAGUUUUAAGGAAUAUACUAGUAUUUUCGUUUAAAUAGUAUUUUAAAUACUCUGUUAAACAGUGUUAAAGAAAUGUUAAAGUUAACUACCAAUGGAUUUAAAUUGGUAUAUUUUUCAUUGACCUAGUUAUAACUUUUUCUUCUAUUCGUUUAAGUUGGGUGUUUUUUCUAAUUGCUCUCCACUUUUAAAAACUAUAGAUCACUAGAUUGUGUAUCACUCACCUUUAAUUAACUAAAAACUGUUUACCAUACAGAAAUAUCGAAAUUUUUUGAGGAAAGUCGCGGAAAGUUCAGGCAUGUUGCAUGGAAGAGGCAUGGAGCCGUACCAUAGUAACUACACAACCUCUUCAUCUUGGUACGACACAGGUCUUAACAACAAAUCUAGCUAUUCCAAACCUAGACACGGUCUUGGACAGUCUAGGCUCUUAUCCAACACAUGUGAACCUGUCCGCUUCAACCAGAUGCCUUACAACCACAUGAACCGCUUAUCUACCUAUGAGCCGCACCGUACUGGAUCAAACUUGACCAUGCCCAUCAAAAGCAACCUCAGUUUUUCAACCCAGCCAUUGCAAAACGAAGGAAGUAGAAGCUUUCUUGAACCAACCGUGACGGCGAACAAAACUGGCCAAACAUCUCAAGUUCUUGGGCUUGGACAACAUGGAAUGUCGGCUACCAAUGAUAAUAAUUUCAUCAACAACAUGAUGAGAAGCUAUGGAAGUUCAACUUCUAAUCAACUAGGAAUAAGCAGCUAUGCAAGUUCAACUUUUAAUCAACCAGGAAUAAGCAUCUAUGCAAGUUCAACUUCUAAUCAACCAGGAAUGAACAGCCAUGGAAGUUCGACUCCGAAUCAACCAGGAAUGAGUAGCUAUGGAAGUGUAUCUCCUAAUCAACUAGGAAUGAGCAGCCAUGGAAGCUUAACUCCUUCUCAACGAGGAAUGAGUAGCUAUGAGAGCUUAACUUCUAAUCAACCAGGAAUGAGCAGCCAUGGAAGCUUGACUCCUACUCAACCAGGAAUGAUCAGCCGUGGAAGCUUGACGCCUACUCAACAAGGAAUAAGUAGCUAUGGGAUUUUAUCUCCUAGUCAACUAGGACUAAGUACUCAACCAGGAAUGAGCAACCAGGGAAGCUUGGGUCCUACUCAACGAGGAAUGGGUAGCUAUGGGAUUUUGACUUCUAAUCAAUCAGUAAUGAGCAGCCAUGAAAGUUUAUCUCCUACUCAACAAGGAAUGAGUAACUAUGGGAGUUUAACUUCUUAUCAACCAGCAUUGAGCACCCAUGGAAGUUUAUUUCCUAAUCAACCAGGAAUAAGCAGCCACAUAAGCUUACCUCCUACUCAACAAGGAAUGAGUAGCUUUGGAAGUUUAACAACCAAUCAUUCAGGAAUGAGUAGCUAUGAAAUUUUAACUCCUGCUCAACCGGGUCCUAGCCAUAUCUCGUACGGGUUGCUCUUAGACAAUGAGAACACUGCAUAUAAGCCUCAACCACAUGCCUCUACAACUAUACAACCGGAUAAUCUCAGCUUGUAUGAUGACCUCGGCAAUAUUAACGAGAUUCCUUUUGAUUUAAGUAACUUUGACUUCGAUCACGACAAGGUAUAUGCUUUCACAUCCCAAAUGUUUCAAUUAUGUAUAUAUACAUGAACUAUAUGUUGUGAGAUUUUUUUGUCUACGAGCAGCAACAAGAAGAAGCGGUAUCUGCCAACAAAUUUGAGAUCCCUGCAAAUCUUGAGACUGAACUGAAUCAGACUUCCUCUCUUGAAGAAGAUGGUGACUGGACCUUUCUGAACAUAAAUCAGGUACAUACAUAUUAUUAGGUGACUUUUAGCAAUUACAAGAUUGUAUUUGAAUGAACUUCCUAUCAAAGAUUAUACAUUAUCAUAUGUUUGAGAAUCUAGUGUGGGAAAUUUUCUAACUAGAUUUGUUACUAUUAGAACUUUAGUAGAUUUCUGCUACUCUUAUAAACAAAUAUAGGCAUUGUAUCUAGACAUUUGUUCAAUAUAUCUAUAUAUUUAGAAAAAGAUAGUGGCUGGAUCUUUCUGAACAUAAAUCCGGUACAUACAUAUUAUUAGGAGAUUUAGCAAUCACAAGAUUGUAUUUGAAUCAACUACCUAUCAAAGAUUAUAUACAUCAUAUGUUUGAGAAUAUAUUGUUGGAAAUUUUCUAACUAGAUUUGUUACUAUUAGAACUUUAGUAGAAGAUUUCUGCUACUCUUAUAAGCAAAUAUAUAUAUGCAUUGUAUCUAGACAUUUGUUCAAUAUAUUAUAUAUCUAUACAUUUAGAAGGAGUACUUUCGGUAAUAGGUCUGAUCUUAUUGAAUAAUAUAUUUGACUUUGUUGCGAAGGGUCAUUUUAAUGAAAAAACAUCAAACACUUUUGCUGCUCCGGAGAUGAAUGAUCCAACUUUCAACAAAAACCCUAAUCAUGCUCAGGUACCUCUUAUUUUUUUCUUUUGGUUGGAGUUGGAGGUUGAUUCGGAGAGUGUGGCGGGUUUUCUUCAGACAGGGAUCCAUGAUUUUCAUCCCCUGUCGUUCCUAGACUUUAGUAGAAGAUUUCUGCUACUCUUAUAAGCAAAUAUAUAUAUGCAUUGUAUCUAGACAUUUGUUCAAUAUAUUAUAUAUCUAUACAUUUAGAAGGAGUACUUUCGGUAAUAGGUCUGAUCUUAUUGAAUAAUAUAUUUGACUUUGUUGCGAAGGGUCAUUUUAAUGAAAAAACAUCAAACACUUUUGCUGCUCCGGAGAUGAAUGAUCCAACUUUCAACAAAAACCCUAAUCAUGCUCAGGUACCUCUUAUUUUUUUCUUUUAUAAUAUUUCCAUGAUAUACCAACGAUAUUAUUAUUUUUAACUCUGAAACGUCGCAUAUAAUUGGUAGGAACAAGAUGUUCCAGAUUUUGAUUGGUCGUUGUUGGAUUUCGUGGUAAAAGUUUAAACUAUUUUUUCUAUAUAAGCUUAUAUUGCAGUAGUUUAUGGGUCAUGGAUUAUUUUUUGAUUAAAUUUGUUUCUAUAUAUCUAGAACUUGGCUAAUGAGAACGACUUCAUGGACUCAAUGUUCACCAAUGACAUGAAUUGAAAAGGGUUCGAUCGAUCCAAGAUGUUCUCAACGGCAAUGCAAAGUAGUUUUUAAAGCAAUUAUAUAUAAAGAAUAAGAGGUUUAUAGAAGUAUGGUUAUGGUUGUGUAACAUAUUUCUAAGUGUUGGAUAUUAUGUCUCUUUUUCUCAGCAAAUGUUAGAUAAUGUGAACUUUUCAAUAUAUAUAUUAAUCUAUAUGGUUAGAAAUGUCAUGUUUUUGUGUUAUAGUAUGUAUAUAUAUAUAUAGAGUCGUUUAAGAUCUGAAGACAGAGUGAAUAGGCAAUGUGCUCCGCCUAGUUAAAACGCUCCCAGACACAUAUUCCUAGGCGCCGUCACCGUCUUCACAUCCCGACGCCGGCAGCGACCAAGCUUGCCGGCGUCGCCCUCCGCUCCACUCCUGCUCUCCAUCUAGCUUAUCACCGUCGUCUCUUAUGGUCUUCUCAUUACAGUUGUGUGUUUUUAUCGUCGUCUCGGUGAGCCUCCUCGCCGUUAUGCAUUUCGUCGCCGCCGUCAACACAGUCCAUCUCAACGCCACCAUCUCUACCACACACCUCCUCUCCGCUGCUUCUCCCGGCCCUCUCAUUGUCAUUGCCUCUCCAUUUUCCCUUGCCGUCCAUCCUGCCCCUAUACUCGGCGCCGCUCCUCACUGUAUAAGCGAAACCACCGGAUCUCCUCAGCCCGAGCUUGAGCUCGCCAGAUCUGUUCGGUUCUGCGUCUUUGAAGCGCCUACACCACUCCACGCCGCCUCAGAUCUCUUCACCGAUGCCGUGUAUCCACACCGCUCCGACUCCGGCUCCAUCAUCACCAUCGACGGCUCGUUUAGGCUUCUUGUCUCGUUAGGAUCAAAACCUCCGCUUGACGCACCUCAAGGUACUUUCAUGACAAGCUUGACAGAAUCAUAUGAUAAGUGGUUUUGGGUGGAUUUCGUCAUACCUCUACGGAUUCAAUACGGUAAUGUUGGAUUCCAAAGUCAUUGCCUGAAUUCAACCAUUGUUUCCUUCUCAAAUUCCGUCAAGUACAUACAAAGGGUCAUCCCAAGGCAUCGUGGUACCGGCUCUUCCGCCGCUUCUACUUCUAUACCUUUAUGGUUGAUCGUCAAGAGCAUCACCUCACCUCCGCCGCAUCGCCUCAUCAUCUCAAUCCCUUCCGAGCGUUGCUGGUACUCAACCGACACAUGUUUUGGUCUGAACCAAAACCAUUUAUGGAGCUUAAACUUGCCGAUUGUUAUAAACUUGAGCCAUCAUUCCUCCUCCAAAGCAUCAUGUCUGUCCACAUUUCGUCGUCGCCCCUCAGUGCAAAGGGUUCACCUAGCCCAAAGCCGUGAUGUUGUGCCUAAAUUACCAUUAUUUGUACAUCCAUCACAGGUCAAUAGAGUUUUCAUUAGCUCUGAUUUUGUCACUGGCGCUAUUCGGUUUCAAGGUCCAUCCUAUUUGUUCGUCAACGUAAAAUCUAGGAUUUUUAUACUCUUCGGUUCUGUUGAGAUUCACAUAGUCUCUUCGUGGAGCCUCGAUGUUGGAGCUAGAGCUGUUCAUGCUCGAUAUAUAUAUAUAUAUACACACGUACGAUCAUGUGUUCUAAGUUGGAUACUACAAUAUCAUAUAGUAUCAAGUAUAAUACGUAUGCAUCAAUGGUAAAAAUCGACGAUAUUGUAAAUGAAAGUAAAAUACUGUUUUUUGUUUACAUAAGCUACGAUCAAAAACCAUUUCAGGGGGCCUAAACCAAUAAUUUUACUACUAAUGCUAUCACUUAUUUUUGUGAAAAUAAAAACAAACUCUGCAGCAACAACUGACAAGUUCCAGUAUCCAAACCAACUUAAGUUGUUAUUAACCAAGCACUGGAAUAAGAGUCACUUUCUGGUGACCACAUGAGUUUCAUUGCCAGAUUCAGAACAACAGCUUACGGACAAAGAUACUGACCCAGCAACCAUUUCAAAACAGGCCCUGGCCCCAAUAAUGCAUGCUUUUCAUGGGAUAUAUUGGGAUUUUUUUUUUUGAUUCAAUUUUUUUUUUAAUAAUGAUUUAUUAAAUGAUUCCCAAAAGGGGAUCUGAGUAUAUUGGGUAUUUUGUAAAAUAGUAACUACGAUUUACUGCAAUACUCUUCCUUUCACAUGACAAACUUCUAAAUAUUUCUUUAAAAUUGAGUUGAAAAUUUUAUAAAAAGAAAGAUAUAUAAAGAGAUAAAAUAGAUUAAUGUCAAAUUUGCUGGUUCUUUUGUUGAUCGAGGCUAGCUUGAUAGAACCACUUGCCUUUGGCAAACGCAGCAAAGCUGCACAAGUGAGAGAUAAAAGAAAAAGGGAUAACUGCAUCAGAGCUGAUAGUAAAUCUUGAUGCAAGUAAUCCAAGAAAAGGACAGAAAAGUCGAUACUAGCCUUACUGUUUUUGAGCCAGGGACGAAUGCAAUCUUCAUGGUACUUGUGAGUACAGGGUAAAAUUAUCAUUUUCUCUCCACGAGCAUAAUCUGACUGGCAUAUCAGACACCUGUUUCCCGAAAGACAUUGUAAUUACUUCUUUACAACAUUUGUGAGGUCAAAUUGUUUUUUUUUUUCGUUUUAGAACUUGCAUAUGAUUUAAAAAAAUGGGAAAUCUAUAGUCUUGAUUUGUAGUGAGUAGUGAGUGAAUAUAUUAUCCUUUUCAGUUUUUAAAUCAGAAAAUAGUAUGUUUUUAAAGGACUAUAUAUAAAAGAAUAGGAGAGAAAGUAAGAAUACUUUUUGUCUUCUAUAGAAGGUUGAAACUUGAUGGUAGGUAAUUGAGAAAUUUGUCUCUCUGUUAAUCCUAUACCUACACUUAAAAUUCUUUCAGGCACUACACUCCGUUGGAUUAUUUCCUGUGACGUAGGAAGGAUGAACAGUUCCUAUUUCAGACAAAAAGGUUAUUAGAGGAAAUGCUAGCUACUGUAAAAUUAAUAGAAUCUUUUUUAUAUACUCUUACGUCGCGUGAAUGUUGGCUAGGUCGAUCCCUUGAGCGUUCUGCAAAAGUAUAUUAGAGGUUAAUUAACCGGUGAUAGACUGAACCUGAGUUUUGGUUUACUCGAUUGGCUAUACUAACUAAAUAGCAUCUAGUUGUUAAAUGGAUUAUGAGUUUAUACGAAUACUUAUGAUCCGGUUUGUGUAAAUGUAUCUAAACCGGUUUAUAGCUUUAGUAUAUAUAGGAACGAACUGGCAUUUUGUAUAAUUGAGCUGAUAAAUAACAUCAUUCAUUUUCUCUAACGACUUUUCACUCUCGUCAUCAUCUUCCUCAUGAUCAAGCUCCAAAUCAUCUAUAAAUACGAUUAUACGAUGCUUCCAAAAACAUAUCAAUACCUGCAGAAGAUGAUAAACCUGAGGUUGAAGGAGGAGGGGUGUUAGAAGGCAAAGGCCUGCGUAUUGGUCUCGGCCUAUUUGUUGGUACAAAAAAACUCAUCAACCACGAUAUUAUCAACGACAUAAAACAUCUCCAGCAGAAUUGUCUUCGGAUGGUAGGUUGAUGUUGAAACUGAUGAUGUUCCCUUGGAAUCGAAUUAAAGGUUACAGACAUGGUAGGUUGUCUCUGAGGUUGAUAAUGAUUCAUCGUAGGAUAAAUGUUGUCAGACAAAUUCUCCGGUGAUACGAGCGGUGGAGUAUCAUCGUUUCUACCAUGUCGUCUGCGAUUUCCCUCGGUUCUCCUGGUGAUUUCAUCAGCUUCACCGAACAUGUAAUUGUACCCACUCAUCUUAAAAUAUCUAUUCAAAAGUAUUUAAUAUUUUGAGAACUAGGGAUGCGUUGAUAUAGUUGGUGGUAUGACAUUUUUAUAUGUAUCGUACUAUUUCAUUGAAUUGCUGGUUAUCGUGAUUGAUCAGUCUUAAAUUAAUUAAAGCAUGUAAGGAUCUUUAAGGCUGUAACCGGUACUAAAAAUGGAAUAAAAGGAAUGAAAUAUGAAAAAAAUGGAGUGUAUUUUAUUCUAUAUUUGUGAUCAAAAUUGAAUAAUUAUUGAUAAGGAUAAUAAUAAUUAUGAUCAAAAUCUGACAGUAAAUCUUUAGAUAUCAAGUAAAUACUAAUAUAUAGAUAUGGAUUAGAUAUUUAGAUAUUCAUUUAAGUACAUUAAUCUAUCUUAUUAACACGUCUAUCUUAUUAAAACAGAAACAUUACAUUGGAUCUAACAUUUAGUCAUGUAAUAUUACAUAAAAUGACAUUAGUAAUUAAUGAAAACAUUAUACAUUAGAAACUCUAUAAUCAAUAUUCUAUAAAUUAAUAAAUACCAUAAAUUAAUAAUUUUUUCUGGUCUUAAAUUGGACCGGUUCAAAAUAUGACACAAAUAAAUAAAAUAAUAAGAUAAUAACUUUUUAGAAAAUCCAAUGUAAUGGUCCCAUUAAAAUUAUAAACUAAUAAUUUAUAUGUAUAAAUAUUUUAUAUAAGUACAAACCAACCAUUAUAUUUUUUGUUUUAUAUUCACAAUCAAAUUAUCUUUAUAUUUUUUUAACAUUUAAUAUAUUUUGAUGAGAUUUAGUAAAUUAUAUCUAAAACAACAUUUAUAUUCUAUGAAACAUAGUUUAUACACACCAAAUAAUAUAAUUAAACUAAUAUAAAUUUUAAAUUUCUAAAAGUUAAUUAAUGUAUAUAUACUAAAAUCUAAUAUUUUCUUACUUUAAGAAAAAUAUAUCUUAAAAUAUAAAAUCCAAAAAAUGUAAAAUUAAUUUUUUUUUUUGUAAAUUAAUAACUCUAUAAAUUAAUAAAAUAUAAAAAUCUCAAAAUUAUUAAUUUAUAGAUUUUUUACUGUAACUUAUAAAACAAAAUAUAACUUAUAAAAAAAAUCAAAAAUAAGUAAUCAAAAAUAAGUAUAACUUUUGGGGUUUAGAUACUACAAAAUAAUUUAAUUUAAUAUGAAAUCAAUUAAAUUAAUAGAUUUUAUUUAUAUUUUCAUAAAUAUAAAGUUACAUUCAUUUAAACUCAAAUAAGUUUUAUAAUUCAAAAUUAUCAAAAAUAUAUAUCACACAAUUCAUCAAAUAAAUUGCAGAGAUUUAAUUUAAAAUUCAUAACGAAAAGAUUAAAAUGUUUGAAAGUAAAAGUUAUGUAUAAACUAUGUCUCUUUUUUUUGAUAAACUAUCAAGUAAAUAAAAAAAACUAUAUUUAUCUGGAAAACGUAUUAAAAGACGCCACGUGUCCUGAGUGUGGACAAGUGAAAGUGGAAGUCGACGAAGCAAAAGGAAGAAGAUAUAAGGGUAAAAUAGGAAAGUCAGAGUUAUGUUCUGCCUGCAUCUUCCUUGUCUUUCUUUUUGUCCCCAUCCGGACAAAAUCAGAGAGAGAGAGAGAGAUAAAGAGUUCGCGUGCUCUAACUGUGUAGCUUUCCGCGAAGGUUGACCUAACUUUAUCGUCACAUCCAAUUGAAUUCGAGAGACAGAGAAUAAUGGGAAACUCGUUUGGUUGUUCGGCGUCCGGCGAGAGAUUGGUAUCGGCGGCGAGAGAUGGCGAUUACGUGGAAGCGAAGAUGCUGCUCGAUUGCAAUCCUUGCCUCGCAAAGUACUCUACCUUCGGCGGUCUCAAUUCUCCGUUGCAUUUCGCAGCCGCUAAAGGCCAUAACGAGGUUUCAAUCUUCAUCUGUUUCACAAGAGCUCUCUCCUUCUCAUUUUAUUAAAAAUUGUUUCUCUUUGUACAUCGUUAGAUCGUUGGGUUGCUGCUAGAGAACGGAGCUGAUGUGAAUUCCAGAAACUAUUGCGGCCAGGUAUAUUCCAAGAUUCUGUUUUUAACUGAUUCAGAGGAUCCAAGUUCGAUACUUUCCGACUUGGGGUUUUGUAAUUAUUGAAUUCUUUGCCUAAGUUUGAUCUAAUAGCAAUGUUCAAGAAAUAGCUAUUGAUUUAUUAUAUAAUUUUUGUAUUUAUAUUAAAUUUUUAGUUUUUUAGUUUAGUUAUAAUAUUAUUUUGAUGAAUUAUCAAAAUUAAAUUAAAUGUACAAAACAAAAGAAAGUAGACGAAUUUGUGAAUUCCCACUAACAAACACUAUUUCUUAAUUUAACAGACUUAGACUAAUUUAGAUCAAUAUAAACCGAUUUAAAACGUAUAAAUCGAAUAUAGUUUUUCGGCUAGGAUUGAGUAGGCAACUAGGACCUAGCCUGAUUUGUAGAACCAUGGCUAAUAGAGUAAAAGAUAUUCGAAAUAUCAGAUUCAGAUUCAGAUUCAGUCUCCCUAAUGUCAAUGAGGGUAAAUUGGGUAAAUUAAUAUCUUGUUUCAGACAGCAUUGUUUAAAGUUUAAACAAAACUAUCUUCUUUGAAUCAGAUUUUUAUUUUUUAAACAUUUUUAUUUUUGCUGAAGGUUACAAGAGCUGAUUAUUUAGCAGGAAGAACAGCGCUUCAUUUCGCUGCUGUGAAUGGUCACGCCAGGUGUAUUAGACUCGUCUUGGCUGACUUUGUACCUAGUCAGAAACUAAACCCUCUUCCUCAGACUGGUGUGAUCACACCGAGGAACAAAUCCCAGCAAAGGUUUUCUUAUUUAUUUUUAUUUUAAUUUGGUAACUUGUUAAGGGUUUUUGAUUGAUCACAAAAAUGACUUCUUCUGGUUCAGCGCAUUGUCUAAAUUUGUGAACAAAGCGGCUGACGGUGGAAUCACAGCUCUUCACAUGGCUGCUUUAAACGGAUUGUUUGACUGUGUUCAGCUUUUGCUUGAUCUUGAAGCUAAUGUUUCCGCUGUGACGUUUCAUUAUGGAACAACAAUGGAUAUGAUUGGUAUCAGCUCUCUCUAUCUAUCCACUCCCAAGAUGACUUGAACAUUCUUUUAAAUUCUGCUCUGUAGAUGUUGAUCUUAGGCUUAAUAAUCAUUUUACAGGAGCAGGAAGCACACCUUUGCACUAUGCCGCUUGUGGUGGGAAUCUAAAAUGUUGUCAGGUAACAUGACUACUAACUUAAUUCUUUUGUUUCUCUGUUUUGGAUACAAAGAUUUGUGAGUUUUCAUUUUCUGUGUGUUUUCUCCAUCUGUAGAUUCUCCUUUCAAGAGGUGCAAGCAAGAUGACAUUGAACUGCAAUGGGUAAGUCUCUUCUAUAGUUAUGUUUCACUUCUAAACUGUUCUUUUAAAAAAAAUAUAUUUGUAGAUGGCUGCCAAUAGACAUAGCACGGAUGUGGAGUCGUCAUUGGUUAGAACCGUUGCUUUCACCAGACUCUGAUGUCGUCAUUCCAAGCUUCCCUCAUUCAAAUUACUUAUCUUUGCCACUUUUGAGUAUACUCAACAUCGCAAGGUAAUGACGGUGAACCUUCCUCUAGCUCUUAGAACCACACAAUGACCUUGGUUUUAUUUGGUUGCAGAGAGUUCGGGUUGCAGUCUGCAACCAUCACAGAUGAGGUUGAUAUCUGUGCGGUUUGCCUGGAAAGAACAUGCACUGUUGCUGCUGAAGGUCUGUCUAAAUUUUUGUCACACCCUUUAACGGAUCUAGGCAUGCGGGUUUGGUUACUUCGGGUAGUUCGGUUUUUGGUUAGUUAGGGUAAUUCGGUUUUCGGGUCCAUAUAAAUCUUACGGAAUUAAAUCGAAAUAAAGUUUGGUUUAAUAUUCGGUUAGUUUGGUUUUUGAAAAUUUUACGGAAGUUUUUUAUUUUGGUUAGAUUUGUUUAAUUUUGUUAAAAAAAAUUGGGAUAAGUUCGGGUAAAUUCGGUUAGUUUGAUUCAUAAUUUAGUUAGUUCGGUUCGGGUUUUUGGUAUGAUUUGGUUAUAUAUGUUUUUUCAAUUAUUUAUAAGAAAACCGAAGUUACCAAUUGCCAAACCAAACUGAAAAUCCUUUUUUAAACCUACCGAGUUAAACCAAAUUUUUGUUCGGUUUGGUUCAGCUCGUACAAAAAUCCCAGGCCUACACGGAUCAUUAACUUGAAAUAAACGAAAGUCGUUGGUUGUCUUUCAGGUUGUGACCAUCAGCUAUGUGUGAGAUGCGCGUUAUACCUUUGCUCAUCAAGCAAUGUUCCCUCAGUGACAGUAGAUCCACCCGGUUCAAUCCCUUGUCCUCUCUGCAGACACGGAAUAGUGUCCUUUAAACGUCUCCCAAGCUCCCUGACCAAAGAAACGAAGUUACCUAUGUCACUCGGGUUAUGUGCGCCGUGUAUGCUUCACACAAGCGACGCAACAGAUCAAUCUUCACCGACAACAGAACAGCAACAGCGUAGUAGCAAGACUCGGACAUCCUCGGUUUCGUCUGAUAUGUUCUGUCCUGUAACAUGUAGCCCAUUCCCUUCGGUUAAUAUACCAAUGUGCACAUGCAACGAUGGAACGUGUCCGAACUUUGAGACGCAUGGAACAGAGAGACAUAGUGAAGAAGAUGACGAGUCUUCUUCGCCUCCUCGGGGGACGAGUGAGCAGGAGAAGAUAGGAGAAGGGCAAAGACUUGGGAAGGCAACAACUUGUUCAAGCAUGUUCUGGGGGAGAAGAAGCUGUAGCAGAGAGAACCAGUGCAACGCUGAGAUCAAUGCCUGAUCACAAACAUUUUUAUGUACAGUGUGUGAGAGAGGGAGGGAGAGAAUCAAUGUGUCCUACAAAGUCUUGUUUGUUUCGACUUUUGAGAGGCUUCAGAUAUAAAUUAUGGUGGAAGAUUUGUAAUUAACUUUAUAAUGAUGGGGUCAUUUUAUUUCCCAGCUUUAUUCUAAUACUAUUUGUAGAUUGAUUUAUUAUUCAGUCAUAUCUUAGAUUAGUUUUAUUAUUGUUAAUUGCAUGGUAAAAAAUAACAAAGGAAAACACUUAUAGAACUUUGUUUUUUUUAAUCUGUAACUAUGUUUGUUGUGUUGUAUAUAUGGUUAUGAGUUUUAGACGUGUUGGUGUCUCAUAUUUUGCAUGCACGCUUGAACUUACCCUAUAUAUGUGACAUAAGGCGUGCAAUAAGUUUUUUUGCUUAUUUGUGUAGAAAAUUACAGAAGCAUUACAUAAUUUUGGGUAAACUUGGAAUGUGAUCAAUGGAAGUAGAUAGUACACAAUGCUACUUAUGUUUGCGAGAUAAGAAUAGACACGAGUUGAGUAUUUUGAAGAAAAACAAUGUUCAUAUUUCAUAUAUGUCGAUCUGCUGAAUAUAUUCAAAAAGAGUGCACACUCUCGUGACCAUACUAUACGUAAAUAUAGUAGGUAAGAUAAUGUACUUCAAAACAUUUACUCUUUCGUGACAAUAUUUUUUUUGACUCUGGUCAGAAAGAUAAUCAUUGUGCAACCAUUGAUGACCAUCGACUCGUAAUGAUAUGGUCAUAGAAAAGUAAACCUCGACCAUAGACACAUAAUGAUAUGGUUUACUGUUACUUUUUCGUGACAAUAUUUUAUAUGACUGGUCAGAAAGAUAAUCGGGGUGAUUGGUUGGGCUUUAUCUCCUUACUUUAGCUUUAUUUACUUUUAAAUCACUGAAUUUUACCAAUUAUGUUGUAGCUUUAUUUUUAAUAGUUAAAGCCUAAAUCAAAUUUCUAUAAACUUUUACCAAUCAUGCUUUACCUUUAUUUUUAAAAGUACAACAAAAAAACUAAAGAAAUUUUUUUUUUAAUGUAUUUUAGGUAAAAAACCUAAAGCUUUAUGUAGAAUCUGUAAAAUAAAAAAACUAUCUCUAAUAACAAAUAAAUUAGAUAAUCAUAGUUAAAAAUUAAAUUAUUUAAUUGAUAAAAAAUAAUUAUUUUAUAUAUACAUUAAAGAUUUCACAUAUUUAAUUUUAAAAUAUCUACAGCCUAUAAUUUACAGGUACAACAAAUUUAACUACAGCAAAAGUCUCUGCAAAAAAAUCUACAGUAACAACUUUACACCUACAACCAAUUUACUUGCAGCUAAACUUUUACAGUUAAAUUUUUAGAGCUACAGUUGAACCAAUCAUCACCAAUGUCCUUCAAAAAGAGUGCACACUCUCGUGACCAUAUUGAUAUGUAAAUAUAGUAGGUAUAAAUUUGUGUUAAUGUUAUUUAAACUUUCUUUCAAGGUACGCAGUUUUAAUUUUAUAUCAAUUAAUUUUAUAAAACUUUACGUAAUACCUAAAUAAGUGGACUUACCAUUAUAAAAUCGCUAUUUUCUAGAGAAACAUAGAUAAUAAAGGUUCCAAGCCUCUUUGACCAUCAUCAUAUGUUAAUUUAGGAUGCAACUAUGCAUUGAAACAAUAUUGUUAUACUUUUUAAUUUUUUCAAAAUCUAUGUAUAAACCCAUACGAAAUAUUGAAUUUUAUGUUAAACGCUCUAUAUACUGAAGCCUAAACUUUUUAGUGUUGUGUUAAAAUUUCUAACCACAUUCUACAUUUGUAUCAAUGUAUGUUAAACUCUCUUUCAUGAUAUAUGGGAAUCGUUAUAAUUUUUUAUCAAUUAAUUUAGUAAAAAUUCAUAACACUCCCUAAAUAAGUGGAAUAACCACUAUAGAAUCGCUAUUUUCUUGAAAAACAGAGACAACAAAGGCUCCAAACCUCUUUAAACAUCAUCAUAUGUUAGUGCAUGAUGCAACUAUGCAUUAAAACAAUAAUGUCAAUUUUUUUGAAAUUUUCACAAAAUCUAUAUGUAACCCCUACGAAAAUGUUGAGUUUUUGGUAUAUUCUUUAUAGAGAAAAAAGACAAAAAUAGCACUAAAUCAAUUUUAUGUUCCCAAACUAGCAUUCAAGGUCAAAAGUCACAAAAAUAUCACUUAAUGUUUUAUCAAAAGUCACAAACUUAGGGUUUAGAGUUAAAGGGUGGGGUUUAGGAUUUAGGGUUUAGGGUUUAGGGUUUAGAGUUUAGGGUUUAGGGUUUAGAUUUUAGGGUUUAGGGUUUAGGUUUAGGGUUUAGAGUUUAGGGUUUAGGGUUUAGAGUUUAGGGUUUAGGGUUUAGAGUUGAGAAAUGAGGUUUUGGGGAUAAGAUUUCAAAUUUUGAAAAAUAAAAAAAAUAAAAUUUUCAAAGGAUAAACUUAGAAAGGUGCUAUUUUGGUCAUUUUAGUUUUUGAGUGCUAUUUUUGUGAUAUAAACUUAGAAAUGUGUUAUUUUGGAGAUUUGCCCUUCUUUAUAUACUGAAGCCUAUAAUCUUUAGCAUUAUUUUAAAAUUUGUAACCACAUUCUAA